rnacentral:lncRNA from 1 species
UCGGAAGUCAGAGGAACGAGAUGGUGGUGGCGGCGCAGCCGCAAAGCAGCGCGGUGGCGAUGAACAGAUCGGGAAUGGGAGAUGGUCGCAUGGGCGGUGGGCGAUAGAUCUGAGGGGAAACUCCUUUGGACGGCUCCCCGUCUUGGUCAGCUAAGGCUGUAGGCACUUACUCCGUCAGAUCAGAAGCAGAACUGGGCGUUUGGGUCAUGGCCAGUUCCAUCUGGUGGCUGCGCGCGAGCAGAGGAGGAGGUGGCGGUCGCGGGCGAGCACGGGAGGAGGUGGUGGCCGCGCGAGGAUAAAGAGGAGGAGGUAACAACAACGAGCAGAGAGAGGGGGAGGUGGCAGCUUGAGUGGAGAGAAGAGGAGCGUGGUGGGUGGAAAGUGGCGGUUGCGUUGAGAAGAAGAGAGAAGGAAGUAGCGACUGCUAAGGUUGAGGAGAGGGUGAAGAGAAGAGCUUAGUGUCGGGACAUGUGGUGGUGUGGGAGUCGGAGGCUGAAGAUAGUGGUGAGAUAUGGAGGUUGAAGAUGAUGAGUAUUAGGUUUGGGGAUUUUAUUUUAAUCUGUAUUUGUGAUUAUCAUGUAUUAGGUUAAAUAAAAUUUAUAAAUUAUUUAUUUGUUUUUUUAAUAUAGGGUAGGUGGUGCAGAUAGAAAAUAAAGGGUGUAAAUAGAAACCACCGUUAGUAAUUAGAUGGAAGACUAACGACAGGACCCAAUUGUCACUAACUUAGAACUAAGGGGACUAAAAUUGCGCAAUUAGAACAAAGGGGAUUAAAAUUGCACAAAGGUCAAACAUCAGGGACCAAAAGUGCAAUUAAGGCUUGAAAUUAAUAUUAACUAGUUGUUUAAUGAACUUUAUUGACUAAAUGAUUUAGUCAACUAGAACUCUUACUCAUGCAAUGUUAGAUUUUGAAAGUCUAAUAAAGUUGAAAUGAUCAUUGAGACAUUAGAAUGUUAAGUAAUACAAAGGAUGGAAGGUAAUUAAGAAGCGCAUGUUUGCAUGAAGUUAUAGACUAAGUGAGUUGCAACUAUAAUUCUGUGCAGAGAAAACUUACGAGGAUUGACAUAAAAGAUAAUCACCAAGAACUAAGGCAAGGGGGGAGAGGUCACCAACCAUGAUGGGUGAAUAAUACGAAUAAAUGAGUAUUGGACCCUCAUUAGGUCCCUUGCCUGUUUUUUGAUUCUUGUUGUGAAUUUUCCUUAACUUAUAUGAUUUAUGUUAUUGAUUGGCAAUGUGAUUAUGAUGACUGAAUUGAUAAGUACUUCACGAUGAUUUAUGUGAUUUGAUCCUAACCCUGAUUAUUUAAAUGAUUCACUAUAUGAAUUAUGUGAUUGAUUGGUUGUUUAUACACAUAGAUGAUGGUACUUGAGAUUGAUGAUAUUGGUGAUAUCAUAGAAUGAUGAUUUGUGAUAUAAGGAUAUUUAUGAUAUUUGAGAUUGAUGCUAUGUGACAUUGAUGAUGGUUUGUGAUUUUAAUGGUGCAUGUGGCUGAAGAUAUGUGACUUUGAUGAGUCAUGUGAAUUGUGAGAUUUACUGGAUGAACAUAUGCUGUUUACAACUCUGAUUCGGAUUAUCUUGAUAUAUUUCCCUGGGCUCCGUGAGCAAGGUAAUGUUUAUGGAUAAGUCUUGGCCCCGCGGGCAAGCUUAUGUGACCUGCUGGCUCCGUGAGCAGAGGCGUGGUUGAUGAUUGUUCCUUGGCUCCGUGAGCAAGGAUGGGCGCGCAUGAUUUCUCUUGGCUUCGUGAGCAAGAAUGAUCCUAAGGGAUUCCCUUGGUCCCGUGGACAAGGAUUUCUUGGCUCCGUGAGCAAGAACGAUAUCUUGGUCCUGUGGACAAGAUUUGCUUUGGCUCCGUGAGCAAAGCCAUCUGAUUCUGAUGUCUGGUUACUGUUGAUGUAAUCAAUUGCUGUAUAUAUCUGUUUAUGUGUUGCUCAUUUAUGUUACAUUAUUCCCUGAUGGGAUUGAGUUGGAAUGCUUCUCACCCCUCUGUUGUUUUUUUUUUCCUCCUCUUUUAUCAGUGACAGGCAUUGAGGAUGGAGAUGGUGUUGUUGAGAGACGUCAGGCAAGACUCUGGGCGUAGAUCGAGUUUUGUGCGCCGAAGCUAUUAAGCCAUGGUAGCUAUCGGUGGGUAAGAACUUAGGAUUCAAGAUCAUGCAUUUUGUGUACACCAGGAUUUACUCCUUGACUGUACAACUUAAGGAAGUUUAUAAUUAGAAAUUUUAAUUCGGAGAUAUAUCUAAGUCUUGAUGUUGUGUUUAAUAAAGAAAAAGUUUUAAAUUUCUUGUCAAGUAAUGUAUCAGUAGAACUAAAUUUGCAUCACAAGUUUGGGCGUCACAAACGACGCUAGAUAUCAUUUUAUUCUGUGUUUUAAAUCAAUUUUUUACAUUAGAAUAUAAGAAAUAAAUUCAUAUUCCGCACAGGAGCGUCCCUAACUCACAUAAGGAGACUCCACGAUCACAAAAUAAGAAACAUUAAGGGUAGCUUCUUUGUUUUUAUUUUGUUUUUAUCUCUACUAUGUAUUAAGGGUUAAGUACCCCCUGUACUCCCAUUAAUGCAAACUUUGCUUAUAAAAGAAAAACUAAAUCAGAAACAUUUAUUCAUCCAUGCUUUGCAGGCCGAGAAUAAGCUGAACCUCCACAAACGAAAAUAAUACAUGUGAUCUCACACUAAAAACAAAAUUAAUAUUUUUUUUUGAUAAUGUGAGGGAUAAGCCCAGAACAAACAAAAAAGACUGAAAUAACCUUUUUGUCAUUGAAAUUGUAAAGUGAAUCAAAUCUGGUCCUUGUAAAAAUUUCGCAUCAAAUUGGGUCCCUAAUUUUUUUUUUAAAACUAAUGAAGUCAUUUUGCUCAAUUUUGACCGGUCAACGAUCCAGUGACAAGCCUAGUCAGAUAAGAACGACCAUGUGGACUUUUUCAAAUCAAUUUUAGUCUUUUGAAAAAAGAAUUAAUCAAUUUCAGGCCAUGUUCUUCCACCUUCAUCUUCUUCUUCUUCCUCGAUAACUCAAAUCUCAUAAAUUCAAAAGGAAGAACAAGGUGAAUAUGAUGAACAUAUAGUUUUAUUAGGGUUUUGAAUUUAUGGCUUUAAGGAUUUGAGUUAUGAAGGAAGAGGAAAGUUGAAGAACAGAGACUAAAAUUGAUUAAAAUAUUUUUCAAGAGACUAAAAUUGAUGUGAAAAAGUCCACGUGACCAUCCUUAAUUGACUUGGCUUGCCACUGGACAUGAUUAGUCAAAACUGAGCAAAAUGACUUAAUUAGAUUAAAAAAACAAUUUUAACGCUAAAAUUUUACAAGGACCGGGUUUGUUUCCUUUUACAAUUUCAAGGACCAAAAGAGUAUUUAAGCCAAAUUAAUAUUAUACUUUGAGAUUUAGGGUCUGUUUGGUGGUCAGGACAGGAUAGAAUAUGACCGGAUAUAUCAUGUUGUUAUCUGUUAUUUGUUGCGUCAGCAGGAUAAGAUAGCAUUAUCAUGUCUCUGAUCCUAUAUAUUAUGUCCAUCAUGUGUAAAAGUUAUCCUGAGGGGUGAGCUAAGAUAAAACAUAAUAUGAUAUCAGUUAUAAAUUUUCUUUCAGUAUCCUAACUCCAAAUUAAUUUAUUUUAAUAUUAUAUAAUUUAUAAUCAUAUUAAUUAAUAAAUAUAAAAAUAUUAAUUUACCUAAAAUAAAAAAUAAAAAAAUUAUUAUUAAUAAAUAGUAAAAUAGACUGCUCACUUACAAAUAUUGAUUUAUUAAUUGAAAUAUACUAAUUUAAUAUUUUCAUCUCCUAUUAUUUAAAAAUUAUUUAUCUACUUAUAUAAUAAUUUAAAUAUAAAUUAAUUUUGAAAUAAUAAUAUUUUUAAUUCAGUUAAUUUUUAUUAUUUAUAACGUGUCACAACUAAGUGAAAAUCAAUUGGUUACAAAUAUUGAUUUUUUAAUAGUAGUAGACUAAUUUUCUAUUUUCAUCUUCUAUUAUUUAAAAUUAUUUAUCUACUUAUAUAAUAAUUUAUAAUUUAAAUAUAAAAUACUUUUGAAAUAAUAAUAUUUUUAAUUUAGUUAACUUUUAUUGUUAAUUAUCAUGUGUCACAACUAAGUGAAAACCAAUUGGUUAAUUGCAUAAUUUUAUUUAAAAUAUAGGCUAUCUUCAAAACAAUAAAAUAGGCUAAUUAAUAAAAUUUAAAUUAAUUUGAGUUAUUUUAAAAUAUAGACCCAUUCAUGAAAAUGUAUGAAAAUUUAAAUUUAAUAGAAUGAUCAAUUCUUAAAUGUAUUUUUUAUUAAAAUAUAAAUUUAAUACAUUUUUCUUUAUCAUAUCAUGUCAUUAUCAUGUGCACCUCAAAAACAAGAUAUGAUAAGAGUCUAUCCUACUCUUAUCCUAUCUUGUUGCUAUCCUUUUCACAUAUUAUAUCAUGUCCUGAUCAUCAAACAGACCCUUAAGAUGAGUGAAAAUGCAUUGAUAGUGCAAAAAACUAGCAUCCAACCACAUAGGACCAAGCAGUUACAUUUCUUUUUAAUUUUAGUUGAAAUAUGAAUAACUAUUUAAUAUGGCAGAAAUAAAUUGGAUGCAAUAAAAAACAAAUUACACACAUUAACUAUUUUCUCUUAUACUUUAAAGUUAUGUAUUUAAUGUUGUCAUUUACCACGUAUUUGAUGAAUGAUAAGAGUAAUAUAGAUAAAAAUGUUUUCAAUAUUCAUCUAAUAUUGUGAUUGAUAUCAUUUAAGUUAGAGUUUAAUGGAUAUGCACUGACAGUGUAAAAUAGUUUUACACAGACAUCCAAUUGAAUUCCGCCAAAUCAGAAAAUAUCUUAUUCUUUUAAUUAAAAUUAAAGUCAAAUGUAAUUAUCUCUCCUAUGUGGCAUGCUUUGAUUGGAUGACUGUGUAAAACUAUUUUACACUAUCAGUGCAUAUCCAUUAAACUCUUUAAGUUAUAAGUCAAAUGUUAAUUCAAUAAAGUAAGAAAAAAUCACCUUAAGAAUAUGCAUUUAGUAAUAACAUUGAUUUCCUCUUAAUCUAUAGUAGUAGUAUAGUUUUGAUAUUAUCCAUUAAAAAUUACGCGUGGCCAUUAAUUAUUUUUCAUAAAUGCCCAAUUUAUCAUAUUACUAUAUAUAAUAAAAUUUACGUGCAUUAAAACUUUCAAAAAAAAAGUGCAUUAAAUAUAUCACGUCCUUAUCUUUGAAUAUUACGUUAGAAAAACCUAGUAAUAACACUCUCAUUAUAUAAGAAUAAUAGAAAUAAAUUAUGAUUAUUAGAUUUAAUUAUAAUGGUCAAAAUUAAAAUAUUGAAUUAUGUGAAUUUUAAUGUUUAUCAUUUAUGAUGAGAUAUAACAAUAUUUAUUCUCAUCAUUCGCAUAAUACAUUAUAUAUAAUUUUGUUCAUUAAUUAUAUAUAUAUAUAUAUAUAUAUAUCCUUUGACUGUGACUUUAAAAAUUAAUGUGCAUUUAAUAAUAGAAUUAAUUUGUGCAUUUAAUAAUAGAAUUAAUUGUUCCAUCAAAAUAAUAAUAAUAAUAAUAGAAUUAAUUGAUUUUGAUUUAACCUACUUUAAAUAUUAACAUUAAUGUACCAAAAAAAAUUAACAUUAUUGAAAUUUUAUAAUUGUUUACUUGUCUCUAUAUAUAUGCGAUAUGCCAUUAGAUAGACAUUUCAUUCGAUUGCAUCCAUUGCCUUUCCUUCUCCUUCUCCUUCUCUCUCUCUCUCUCCCAAGUUAUGGCCGAAAGCUUGGAUAUGUUUUCUGUGUUGCCCGAUGCUUUGCUUCUAGUUAUAAUUUCCCUUCUUCCUUUCAAGGAAGCUGCAAGAACUUCAAUUCUUUCCAAACGUUGGCUACACAUAUGGGACAAAACAUCAAACAUUGAGUUCAAUGAGUUUUUCUUUGUUAAAUUUGAUCAGCUCUUCUACAUAAGAAGAAUCCAAAGAUAUGAAUUUCUUAACUUCAUCAGACACUGGCUUGAUAACAAAAAGAACAAAGAGCACUCUACUUUGGUGGAGAAGUUCUCUUUGAAGUUAUCAAAGCCUAAAGAAGUUGGUGAGAUCAUAAAAAUGUGUGUGACCUUUGCCACACAAAAUGGGGUCAAAGAUUUGACCCUUGAUUUUGCUCAUCCUGAUUUUGACUCAGUCCCCAAUUUUUCUCGUCCCUUUUGGGCCCCAGAGGAACCACUUCCUACAGAAGAUGACAUGAAGAACAAAUUUGAGUUACCAACACAUGUUUAUAAGCAUAAGAGCCUUGAGUCUUUGAAGUUGUUUGAUUGUAGUUUACGUGAAACUAAUUUGAUUAAUUGGAAUGUGCUCAAAGAAAUUUCUCUUGGCUGGAUGGAAGUGACACAAACUCUCAUCACAACUCUGCUAUCAAAUUGUAAGAUGAUUGAGAGUUUCAGCUUGGAAAGGUGUUGGAACAAAUUAGGCCUAUAUGAAUUUUGUGGUGAUAAUGACUUGAGGCUGAGAAGGCUUAUUGUUCGUGAUUGUUCCUAUGAUGGGUGGAGAUUGUUCAAAAUAAAAGCCCCCAAUCUUGUUUUUUUCAAGUAUUCUGGGGUAAUGAAACUUUUUGAAAUUCAAAGCUCCUUAGCAAUGGAAGAAGCAGAUCUUUACUUUGGCCUUGAUCUCAUGCAUGGUGAUGUUGCUUUUAGUACAUACAAUCUAAUUCAAGAUCUCUACCUUGUUAAGGUUCUGACGGUAUGCACUUUCAUACUCGAGGUAUGUUUUUCACUUCUGUUUUACUUGUUUGUUUUAUGUCUUCUUAUCAAAUUUGUUAUAGAAGCUUAAGUAAAUAUGUCAGAAGUGCAACUGAUUGAUUUUGUUAAUGGUUAAAGUUAGGAAAAUUGUGUGAUUCGCACUUCAAUCCCACCUCCACCUUGUGAGAUUAUGAUAGAAAUAUGAUAUAUGAUGUGAUAUGAAAAGAAGAGAGAUAGAAAUAUAAAAUCAAGUGUCCAUAAAUCAAAAUCCCUAUGUUUGGCCGAUACCAUUAGAUGUCUAGACUCUAGCUAGAAACAAAAAUAAAAAUGGGAGAGAAAGAAAGAAAGUAAAUAGAGAUAGUGAUAUAAGUGAUAUAUGAUGUGAUGUGAUUAGGAAAAGAAAGAUAAAGAGAAUAUGUUGGUAUUCAUGGGUGUCCACACUGUAGUGUUGGUGAGAAGUCUCACAUUUCUUAAACAUAUGAUCAAGAUAACUCUUAUAUAUGAGAAGUUAAUCCUCAACUUUUGAUAUACCUUUUGGGUUGAGUUAAACCUCCAAUUUUCAAUAUGAUAUUAUAGCAUAUCUUAGAUCAUGUUCAUUUCUUCAAAUCCCACACUCCAGAUGUCUAGUCCCGAGCGUGAGGAAGUGUGUUGAGAAGUUGAUGUCAUAUGGACUAAAGAUAUGACAAGAUAAAUAACUCUUAUAUAUAGGAAGUAAAAUCCUCAGUUAUUGAGGUACAUUUUAGGUUGAGUCAGAUCUUUAAUAACUAUGACUUACAUUUCACGAUUGUAUAAGUAAUAUGAUACAUAGACACUAAACUACACAAAUACUCCACAUACACCUGAUUUUCUCUUCAUUUCUUACUCCUCAUCACAUCACAUAUUAUAUAUGACAUUCAUUAUUACUCUCUCAAGAAGUUCCUCAUUAAUUGUGCCCACCCAAAAUUUUCAUUUUUUUAAUGGGGUUUGGUUCAGAAAGCAUGAUUUUCCUCUUCUAAAAAUCUUCACUUGCAAUUGAUCAUGUAAAUACACUACCACUAAGCACUAUAAUUAAGACUUGUAUAAUAUGCUUGCUUUAGAGUAUUGGUAGUGUUCUUUCACCCUUAAUUUACCAAGAAAGAAAAAUACAAGUGAAUUCCACAGUAUCUUUGAGUAGAGUAGAUUAUUGAGUAAGUAAACAUGAAACAAUAUAUAUAGAGAAGAUAUUUCCACCAUGUGUAUAUGCCCCUAAAGUAUAAUUAAUAUGGAUGACUUUUUGUUAGGUAACAGGAACUAGCUAUAUAUAUAUGCCACCCUGCCGUGAUUAAGUGUGUAUAUUAGAAAUAUCAUUUUGUGACAUAUUAUGAUGAAAGCACUUCAAGCAUAUUUUACUUUAAUAAUUCAAAACUUCCAUUAAAACUAAUUAUCGGUACAUGCUUAAUCUUUGCAUCAUUGAUGUCAUGCUACAUAUAUUGUUAUUUAUGGUUUUAAAUGCUUAAUUACUUUUUAUAUGAAAGAUUCUUCCUGCCGGACCGAACCCGCUACGUACAGAACGAGACAUGAAUGCAAAACACUUGAUCAUGAAAACAAGUUUAGGCGAUCAUGAACUUUUAGGAAGCGUGUUCUUGCUCAAUAGCUGUCCUAUGUUAGAAUGCCUCACCCUUGAGAUAGUCUCAAAAACAGUCUUCGAUUAUGUGAGUAUCAAUGAUCUCUAUCUAUCUAUAUAUAUGUGUGUGUGAGCGCGCGUGCUAUGUAGAAAGUUUGUUAUGAUACCAUGUUGCAUGCUUGUGUACAUUACAGAAUACUGGAGGGUAUGCUGAUAACAGAGGAGACUGGAAGGACAAUUUAAUCACUCAUGGAUGCUUGGCCUCAACUCUGAAGAUGGUGGAGGUGAAUAACUUUAGGGGGAGUACGAAUGAGCUUCUUGUGCUUUACUAUCUUAUUCGUUAUGGGAGUGUCUUGGAAAAAAUUAUUGUCAAUGUGCUAAAGGGAAAAGAUGAUGAUUAUAUGGUUGAUUAUACGCCAAAUUACAAAGACGUGGAAGAAUAUUUGAUGACAACUCCAAGGGCUUCAAGCAAUUUGCAGAUAUCAUUCACAUAUUGAGUUGAGAGUGUUGUGUUAUGCUUCUUUAUUUCUUGUGGUUUUUUAUGCUUAAGACAUAUGGUUUGACUAUUUCGGGAAUUAAUGUAUCAAUAAUGUUUAAACAUUUUAUUCUAUUUUGAAUAUUAUAUGCAGACUUCUAUCGAUCCUAUACCUAAAGGUUUUUGAAGCAGGUUGGAGAUAAUUCAAAAGGAACUUUAUAUAGGGAUACCAUGAGCUAUAGGAUAGUAGUAUAUAUAGUCUCCGUCAAUGAUUACUUCCCACAUGUCAAAGGUGAUUUCCUUUGAUGAAGAGUUCCAUCUUCAACUUCUAAAACAUAUAAUUUUCUCUAUUGAAGAGGUCUUGUCAAUUGGGUCAUUUUGGGAAGUUAACAGUAGAAACAUGUUCUCUCCCAUGAUCUUUCUUCUCUAGCACCGCCAAAUACUCACAGAAGCAAAUUUUACAUAAGGUAUUUUUCACUAACUUCUCCAAAGAUACAAGUAUUGCCUUCGUCUCUUCAAGCUAAAUCAAGUAGUUUUGUUCUAGCCUCUCUUAGCUAAUUUCAAUUUGUCUUUCUUUAGUCUAUUCAAGCUAACCUUAAGUAUUCUUUCAAUAACUUAUCCAAGCUAUUUCCUUUAUCAAAACAUGGGUGUAGAUAUAAAUUUCGACUAGCUUUUAAACAAUCUUAAACUUGCUACAUAAUUAAUGAGAGUUAGUUCUUUAAACUUUAGCCCAAAAGAUUUACCUGGAAACUUUUUAACAUAAGGACCUAAUGACAAUAUGUUAUUAUUUUAUUAAGUCCUUGAUCUUUUCAACUAGAAAAUAUACCUCUUCCUUUUCUUUUAACCAAAAUUUGAAAAUUAUAACUUAAAUUAGGACAAAAAUAUAUUCGGUCACCUAGUGUAGAUAUCACACACAAAAAACAUUCGAGGUGCCAUUGAACUCGCCAAUAGUAAUGAGUGUGUUUGUUUUAGUUCUUUUAAAAGAAAAAUCAAUUUUUCAAUUUUUUUUUAAUUUUAAGUUUGUUUCACCAUUAUAAAAAAUUAUAAUUUUAAUAAAAAGCUGAAAACAAAUUAUUUAUUUGAAAACUUACUUUGAUUAGAAAUUGUUAUUAUAAUAGAUAAGAGAGAAGAUAAAGAAAAUGAUUUUAAUUCUGUGUAACCAAACACACUGAAGAUUAUGAUUCUCUUAAAAUCUCUAAAAAUUAUAUAUAUAUAUAUAUAUAUAUAUAUUCUCCAAAAUAGCUAAAAAAUCAUUAUUUUUAAUCUCAAAUAAACUCAAAUAAAACCAUAUAUGUCUACUCCAUUACCCUCACCGUCGAUACUCUACUGCACCGCCUGAGCUCGGAUAACGGCGGCAACCUCUCCACCAUCGACCUCUCUCCUCUGCGCUUUCCUCGUCGUCGCGUCAGGACAUCGCCGUUGUCCAGUGGCGAAGUCAAGAUUUUUAUGAAGUCUGGGCAAAUUUUAAAAGCGCAAAUCCUCACGUGACACAAUAUUUAAAUAGUCAUAAACCGGUACAAAAAUUGAUGUAUAACAAAUUCAUAAACAGCAGAUGGUGGUUGACGUCAUAUCCUCCAAGCUCCGGUGGUGGUUGACUCCUUCUGGGAUCGUGAGACAAUUCUGGAUGUCAGGGAAUGGUUUCAGCGGGAGUGGCAAUUGAAGCUCAAUUCUCUGCCAAGGGAACAAAACAACACAGCGGACUUCUUCGCAAGGAAGGCGGCACGAGAAGGUACACAAUUAUCAUUUAUCAACACUUAUAGGUCACCACAGUAAAGAGAGAAAUUUAAAAAGAGAAAACAGAAAUUUAAUUGGUCUUCAUUCCAUAUGGGCCGGGCCCAGAACAAAACAAGGGACAAAGUCCCCUACAAUCAGCUAAUGUGGCAUAGCUUAGCUGUCGUCGGUCAUCGGCGUUGGUCCUCCUCCACUGCGCCGCCGUGCUCUCCCGGUCCUCCACCGCGCCGCCGAAGCAAACGGACCUAGAACUCAAUGGGUACCGAAUUCGAAACAAUUGAGGGAAGGAUAACAUGUAUGCUUUCGCAGCUACAAUCCGAGUGUGGCAUCCUUCAUAGAAUGGUUUACAAGAACAAGAACCAGCACCGCCGCUGUGGCUAUUUCCAGCGUCUCUUGAAGGUGUGUAGUGAUUAUUUGCAUUGAAAAUUGAAUGGAACAUGUGUAUUUUCAUUGGAAUUUGAGUUUUCAUGUUCUGGGUUUUUUGUGUGUUUGAUGGUAAAUGUUAGGUGAGAAGGGAUUUGAGGCUUCUGCAAUCUGCAAACUUGGAAGAGCUUGUUACAUCAUGUUUCCUUGUUAUCAAAGGAGAUAGGCCAAAACAGAAGGUUCAUCUUUUAGAGAGGUAGGUUUAUGUUAUUUAUUGUAGCUUCUUUCUUUUGUUUUUUGAAGUUCAUGUAUAGAAAUUCAAUUAGAUAAAUCUAGAUAACUGACAAUGUGACUGCUUUUAGAGUGUGUUUGCUGCUGAUAUUUCAAAUGUUUGAUAUUUCAAAUGACUGAAUGAGGGGAAAAUUUGUUUCCUUGUGUCUAGCCUAGCACAUUGACAUGGGGUAAUAUUUGUAUAAAAAAAAAAUUUCAAAUUUGUAUGUCUUUUCCUUGUAUUUCAAUAGGGCAAACACGUCUUAUAGGGAAGAAAGUGGAAAACUUUUAAAGUGACAAUUUAUAAAUCCCAUGUGAAGUGAUUUGAUUCUAUAGACCAUUAUUUAGAUCUGCAUGAUGUACAUUCAUGGUUAAAUAAUUAAGUAUUGAAUGUAUCAUGCUUCUUUCUUGUCUAUCAGUUUGUUGCUGCCUUUUGAAAUAUUUAUGUUUGAUUUCUCCAGUGCUAUGUGAUGAUAUUGUAGGUUUUGUCUUGUGUAUAAAAAUAUUGUUAUACUUACUGUUUCAUGACCAUGACAGCUUGAAAAGGAGAAAAUGCGAUGGUGAAAAGCAUAAUUUUUUGGAGCGCCUUUUAGGAGCUGCACGAUUACUGUCAGAGGUGAAAUCUUGGCUAAACUUGUUUGGUUUUCAUUUUAAUUUCCAAAUAGUGAACUAUACAAAACUUUGAAAACCGGAAACAAAGUGGAACAAUGGGACAUGCUUGCAAUUAAAAUUCAAAUGGAAACCACAUGGGCCCUAAGUGAUUUUACUUACUGUGUUCAUUACUUCCUUUGUGAAUUAAGAUCAUUGUGUUUUGUACUGUGUUGGCUCAUUAACUACAUGCUCUUGCCGUGAAUACAGUAUGACUAUGAGGACUUCACACAUUUUAAUGGACUCUUAUGGGAAUUUUACCCCUAUAGAAUAUAGAUCAUGAUAGAUUUAACAUUAGAUUGUUUAUUUCUUCCGGAGCCUGUUCUCUUAUUUCAAUUGAUGUUUUGUUUUCCCAUGCAGAUGGUUGAAGCAAUACUGAAGGCUGCAACGUAUCCUACUACUCAUAUCAUGUGAUAUACUUCUAUCAUGUAGUUUGCAUAUAUGUACUGCUCUAUCUUUGUUUAAUGGGAACUACUUAAUUCAUACUUCCAGCCAUGAUAUCUUCUCCCCUUCCCUUCAUAAGCUCCUAUAUUAUAUUUAUUUCAGUUUCAAGUUUCUGAAGCAGUUCCCAAAAAUUGUUGGUUACAGUUGUCUAAUCACUAAUGUAAUAAAUUAUCAUUGAGUCAUGUUUUUGCUGCAUACUUUGUAAAAUAUCACAUGCAAUCUCUUAGGAACUGUUUUCUUCUUCAGUGCCAGUAGCAUUUAGCACAUGCUUCUUGAACAUUUUAAGAGUCAUAUGUUAAGAUUCCUUCGUAAUUUCUUUCCUUGACUAUUUAAUAGUGAAAUAUCUGUAUUGUUUGCUCGAUCCUUUUUUAUGGGAUUUUCUGUAACAAUUAUGGCCUUGCUAGCACGUCUUCGAGUUUUGGUUCAACAAGUAAGUCUCCCAUGUUUAUGUAUUAUAAUUUAAUCUAGGUCGUAUCAUCGUUAAAUUGGAAGUUGUUUCAUGCUGAAUAUUGGUGAAGAGUUUAUCUGUAAAUUAACUAGAAAGUAAAGUGAUAUUAAUAUUAGGCUGGCAUUGGAUAGACAAUUUCUUUUUAAGAAGCACGUUUUAUCUCUGUGAUUGUGAAUUUAUCUUGCUCGAGAUAUAGCUGUACUGAUUUAGUUAAUCAAACCUUUUCUUCCUUGUACAGAUCUUACUUGAUGUUGUUUCAUUGUUCAACAUGGUUUCUUCCCUGUCUAGAAAGAAGCAAUCAAUAAAAAUAUCUCAUGAGAAAGUAGAGGUUAGUUGGUAGUUGUUCCACUAAAGUUCAAUGUUUAUACUUCAUAUAUGUUUUUGCGUAGAGAUGGAUAUGAAUAAAAAAUUAUAUUUGACAUGUUAAUCUAGUCUGUCUCCAUCUCUUCUGAUAUAUACUACUGAAGCAGGUUUUUAGAGAGUUCUACCCAGUAAGUGCUGAUUUUGUGACAUUAAAGUGCGUAUGGGAAUCAGAUAAAUUUAUAUUACUUGAGACAAAGCAUAAGUGGGAGAGUGAAAAUCAAAUUGAGAACUCUGGUGGAAAUUUCUCUGUUCAAGCAUCUGGUGUCAACUAUUCUAGUAUCAUGUCUAUUCUUGGGGGUAAGAACCAUGUACUAAUUUCUGCUGUUCCAUCUUCACUUAGUGUUCUUCUUUGUUUUUAUAUUUAACUGUGUGGUGUGUAGUUCAGUUUUUAAUAACAAAUGUCUUGUUGAUAUGACUUGUAUUCAAUAUCUUCUCUUGUUAAGUUCAGUUGGUGAAAGUAAUCUGUUCGUUUAUUACUUUGUAGUCACUGUUACUGUAAUGAAAGUCUGGUUUGAGUCUAAUUGUUUGUUGUGUGGGCGUGUCACAUCCAAGAUCACAAAUUGACAACUCUGUACAGCAGCUAGACUGUUAAGUUGCUGCAACUCGUUUUUCUUCAUUUUAUCACCUUAAGAUUAGUAUUUAUAUAAAAAUCAGAUUUUUGUUCAAUCACGACCAAAGUAUUCUUGUUUGGUUUCACAUUCUAUAUGAAGGCUAUGAGCAUGUGAUCAAAGACUACUUAGUACCUUUGAAUUAGAAAUUUUAGAAAAAAGAUGUAAUUACUCUUGAUGUAUAUAAUCUUGUAUGAAAAAAAUAUGAGAAAGUUAGCAUUUGUUGAUGUAGUUGGGUAUAUGGGUAAAUUACCGUGAUAAUGUCACAGGUUCAAGUUUAAGUUUUAUGGUACAAGCUGGGAUUGUAAUUACUCAGUAGAGAUAUAUUAGGUGUUAUAUUUUCCCUCUCCUUACUGCUUACACUCAUCCCCUUGUGUAUAACUAAAGUUAAAUAUUUUAAAGUCACUAGACAUUAAGUUUAACCAAGGCUCCGAAAUUUGUCUUGUGCAGAUGAUCAACGUGUCUCAGAGAGAGUUGAAACAGACCCUACUGCCAGAGAAGAUGCCUCUCAUGUCAAGGACAUGAAUACUGAUUUGUUGACAGGCUCAUCGCAAAUUGAUUAUGGCAAUGAGACUUUAUGUAGUAAGGAGUGUGGAGAAAGUGAUGGUACUGCAAAACCCUCGUUUGGCGAAUCUUCACAAGAGGGUGGCUUGCAUGAAUUUUCACAACGUCACUCUGGUUUAAAGAAGGUGGCAUUUGUGUCAAUAAAGAAUCCUACAUCAGCUCCACAAAAUGCACAAAGUAUUCCUGUGUUUACUAGCAAUGUCAAGGCAUUUCAUUCCAUGGGAAAUCAAAGUGAUCAAACAAAAGAUGACACAAGGGAUUCACUUGCAAAUGUACUUGCUAAUAUAAAUGCAAAGGAUAGUUUUUUUUAAACACUGAUAGUUUUUAAUGCAAGCAUAUUGGGAAUUUCUCGGUUCUUAAUGCACUAAUUUAACAGUGGGACUAGGUAGUGUGGUCAAUCUUUUGGUGAUAGCUUCAUCGCAAGAAAACUUGAUUUUAUGCAUGUAAAACUUACUGACUUCCGAUGAGCUUAGUAAACUUGAUUCUAGCUUCAGUCUCCGUUCACUGGCUUGAAAUAUGAAGGACUAAAGAAAAUUCCAUGAACAUCAUAUUCUAUAUGACUUUUAUAUGAUAUCUACUCGCUUAAAGGGAAAUGUAAAUGCCAGAGGUGAUAUAUUUGUGAGGAAUGUGAGGUAAUUUGCGUGAAAGUUGAAACUUAACUAGAUAAAAUUAAAAUGUUCAGUGAACUUGUAAUAUCUACUUAAAUUAUAUGCUUUGUUAUGUAGGGCUCGUAAUUCCAAUUUUAAGAAUAGAUAUGAACUUCUAAUAUUUUGGCAAUCAUCUGUGCAGAAUAAUUUUUAUAAUAGCCUAUGGAUAAUUUAUUCUAGAAAAAUUUGAAGAUAAACUACUUGUAUAUGGUCAUAUAUUGAUAUAGAAAAAACUCAUGAGAAAAUUAGAAUAAGCUUACUUCAGUUUCUAAAGCGACUACUUCAAUUUAGAGGGCAAUAUGGAAUUAUGGAUUGAGGUGCGAUGCCAACUGCAUGUGAAACUUCGCUCUGGGUAUGGCUCUUUACAGCACCAGUGCUACAUGCACAGUAUGCAGUUGGCAUCACACCUCAAUCCAUAAUUCCAUAUUGCCCUCAUGUAAUGCAGUAACUACUUUAUGAAUGUUAUACCCUGUCUAAGUAUAAUCAUGAGAAUAUAUGCUGAUUAUUAAGACGUAAUCAAACCAAAACUUUUAGAUUGGCAUAGUAAAGAAGUUAUCAUAAUGUAAACAACUGUGCUGCUGAACCGGCAUACAAUAGCAACAAACUAAUCAUGCCCUCUGCACUGAAAAAUUAAGAAUGAAAUCUUUAACUUCAUCAUUAGCUCUGUCCAGUGCUGUUCUUCCAUCUCCAUCUCUAACAUCAUAUUUCGCCCCCGCUCUCAAGAGUUCCUCAAUUUUGGGCAUGUCACCUUCUGACGCAGCUAACAGCAGUAGGAUGUCCACAGGGUGGAUCUUUUGGCUUAGAAGAGCUUCCAUCUUAUCAUAUGUUCCCUCAACUGCGAGCAUCCCCAUAUAGUUGAAGUACUGCAAAAGAUUAAAUGUAAACAUGAAGUUUCUUACCACUGUUUUAUCAUAAGAGCAUUUUCUAUUUCUAUUCCAAACAUUUCAGCAAGAAUGUUAACAAAACCUGUAAUACUUCUUAAAGAACUUGUUUAAAUGAGUCCCACAUUGUUAACAUUUGCCAAUAAAGUGAAGAGAUUGAGAUAUAAAACUGAGGUAUGUGAUACAUAGCAACAUACUUACCUGGAUGGGGUCAAUGGGUGAUCAAGAAGGCCCAUGGCCUAGAUUAGUGACCUCCAUUGCACUUGGGAGGGGUGCUAGUCUAAGGUCUACCCAAGUGGUGGAGCCUACAUCAUAAUUUGUGGUAGUGGGGGCCUGCGUUCGCGCAGCCCCUGUCCAGUUCUAGUUUAAGUGUUUUUUAGUAUGAUGACUUAAGAUUUAGAUUUAAAUACCAAAAUAAUUGUUGACAGCCAAAAUGCUGAUGAGGUGAUCCUCUUCUGGUCUCAUUAACAAACAAAAGUUUUGAGCAGAAUACUAAUCAUUUUUAUAGUGUUCAAGGUGUGGUUUCACAAAAUUUAUCUUUACAAAAUGAAGGACAAUGUAAAUUUAAGUUGGUUUAAAAUAGACAAAUUUAAACACAACAAUACAGCAAUUCUGUUAGGACCCAGAUCGCUGAACUAUGGAAAACAGUAAGGAAAUGAGAACAAGAAAUAUAUCUGAGAGCUUUAUUGAACUUGCAAAAUGGAUUACAGAAGGAAUGGAGAAAUCUCCUUUAAUUCCCUGACUCAGAGCAGAGCUCCGCUUAGGAAGUUAGCACUUCCUAAUCAUUCUCAAUACUAUAAUAUCUAAAGGUAUCCUCAACAUUCCCUCUCCUAUUCCUUAUAUUCAGAUACUGACUUGCCAGCUCUCAUUCCCCACCUGUCACCUCUCCUAACUAACUUAGCCACUAUUUCCCUUCUUACCCCUUCUAGAAUACACCUGAAAGAUUCUAGGCCUAUUUGUCCUAUUAUGGAUCAACUCCUCAUGUGGCAAUGAUGUAGAAAUAGGAAUCCUAUCAAAUUCCAACCCUUAUCAAAUUGAAAUUGUGACAAAAAAAAAAACCCAAAUCUAAUUAAGUUUUACGGGUUACAGUCAUAGUGGAAACAGUUCUAUUUCACCUCUUAGAAAGGAAAUAAAUUAAAUCAAAAUACUUAAACUUCUACCCCUAGAUUUCUAUCCUGGGCACAGACACAUUUCAGCAAGAAUGUUCACAACACUUGUAAUACUUUUCAAAGCGCUGGUUACAAUAAGUCCCACAUUGUUAACAUUUGCCAAAGAAGUGAAGAGGUUGGGAUAUAAAACUGAGGUCUGUGACUCAUAGCAACAUACUUACCUGGAUGGGGUCAAUGGGUGAUCAAGAAGGCCCAUGGCCUAGGCUAGUGACCUCCAUUGCACUUGGGAGGGGUGCUAGCUUAAGGUCUACCCAAGUGGUGGAGCCUACAUCAUAAUUUGUGGUAGUGGGGGCCUGCGUUCGCGCGGCCCCUAUCCUGUUCUAGUUCAAGUGUUAUCUAGUAUAAUUAGGCUUGCAUCCCAAAAAGUUGUUGACAAACAAUGCUGAUGAGCUGAUCCAUUUACAAAUAAAAGUUUUUAGCAGAAAACUAAUCACAAAAUUUGUCUUUACAAAAUGGAGGCAGACUCCAUGUUAUUUUGAGUUGGGAUAAGAACAAAACAAAUUAAACACACAUCAAAACAGCAAUUCCAACCCAAAUCAAAUGUGACAAAAAAAUCCAAAAUCAAAUAAAGUUUUACUGGUUAGUCAUAGACUCAUAGUGGAGACCAUUCUAUUCCACCUAAUAGAAAGAAAAGAAAUUAAAUCAAAAUACUUAAACCUCUACCCCGAGCACACCCUGUAGAUAGUCAAGUGAAUUACAAGUGAAAUCCAAUUCAUGAAACCAUUUGAUCUGUGAAGAACAUUGUUGUAGUAAAUAUGAAAUCACAAAUGUUGUAGUAAAGGCCAUAAUGCCAGUGGAAUCAUUACCGUAGUGCAUAGAAGGAGAGGUAAAGACUCUUAAUUAUAUUUAUAGUCAUUCCAGAUAGAGACUGACACCUUUUAGCAAGAAUGUUAACAACACUUAUACUAGCUUUUAAAGUGCAUUGUUUCAAUAAGUCCCACAUCAUAAACAUUAGUCAAGGAAGUGAAGAGAAUGAGAUAUAAAACUGAAGUGCGUUAUACAGAGAAACAUACUUACCUGGAUGGGGUCAAUGGGGGAUCAGGAAGACCCAUGGCCUAGACUAGUGACCUCCAUUGCACUUAAGGAGGGGUGCUAGUCUAAGGUCUACCCAAGUGGUGGAGCCUACAUCAUAAUUUGUGGUAGUGGGGGCCUGCGUACGCGCGGCCCCUGUCCAAUUCUAGUUUUAAGUUUUAUUUUGGAAAACAAUAUAUGAUUAUUCAUAAUAAUUAGAGAGGUUGAGAAACACCCCUUCUCAAGUAGGAUAAGGAAUUCAAUUAACAACAAAUACCCCCAAGAAAACUUUUCACCCAGAUACAAUAAAGAAAGCAACAACAGUACACUGUAUAGUCUUUGAAUAUCAUGAAACAAAUAUGUUAUUCCUAUUUAUUGAUAACACCCUUGGACUUUUCUAUAACGCCACAACUUAGCCGAUCUCAUGAAGCCUUGCUACAUGGACACUCUACAUGAUACAUAAUGCCGCACAUAAGCAUCUCUAAGAACUAUAAUUGACUCCUUUAGUAGUCACACUGGUUUUUUAAAUGUGCAACUUCUCCAAAUUAAAAAUCAAAAGAAUAUGGUCAAUUGAAUCAUCAUCAACCUUGGAGCACCUGGAGAGAUCCAACUCUUACAGGCUAGUUUAAGUUUUUUCAAGUCCAAUUCAAGUUUAAGUGUUAUCUAGUUUGCCUUAGUUGAUAUAUUUAGGCUUGCGUACCAAUAUAAUCAUUGACAAACAAAUUGCUGAUAAACUGAUCCUAUUUUGGUGUCAUUUACAAAUAACAGUUUUGAGCAAAUAUCUAGUCAUUUUGAUAGUGUUGAAGACAGUGAUUCCAGGACAACUGUUUCGUUGAGAUGCUUUUAUAAGGUCUUUUUAUUUACAAAAUGGAGGAUGAGUUUGAGUUUGCAUUAGAAUGAUUAUGAUCCUCUCAUGUGGAAAUUAAAUUUCUUUGUUAAGAGGAUCCUAAGAUGUAAGGAGUUUGCAUUGAAACUUUUUCCAUAGACACAAUAUGCUAAUAUUUAUAACAGCAAUUUGCAUCUCCAACCCAAACCAAAUUUCCAUCUAUAAGGAAGAAAUACAAAAUCACUUAUCUAAAUUCACUACUGGUGCUUUCCUUCUUCAAUUACUUCCUUUUCACUUCCCCAUUCAUUUUUUUUAAUCUGAAAAAGAACACUUUUUUAUUUCUCACUCUGGCCAACUCAGACAUUGAACCAUGAAUGAAUAUUUAUCCAAGUUCCUCUCAUGAAACUGAAAAUCAUAGCAAAAAUUAUUCUCACAUUAUCAGAGUCAGUCCAAGAACAUAAACCAGAAAUGCAUAAGCAAAAUCUUCCAUAUAUAGUAGCAUUAAAAAAUUCCAACCAAAUACAACUAACAUUAUUCAGUUAUAAACACCAAACAGAAAAAAGCAUCUAUACCAGAAUCAAAAGUGAUACAGUUCUAGAGACAACUAACAUAAAUAGGAACAGUAACACUUUUAGCUACCAACCUGUUCAACAUCAUCUCUGUCAAAAUCAUCACGGGACUGGCUGCCAUAAAUGCCAGCACCUUCAGCAUCAACACCAUUCUUCCCAAAUCUGAACCAGCAUGUGGCUUUGGAGCCAUUGGAGGGUCCAAUUGAAGAAGUGAGCCUGAGGCACCCAACUCUUCUUCUGAUACCCAGAAACCCAGAAGCCAAAUUCAAGGAAGAAACUGGGGAAGGCAAGGAAUUUAAUCUUGAAGUGAUGGGUUGGUGGGUGAUGCAUGCAAUAGAAGAAGCCAUUUCUAGAGUUCUUGACCAACCUUAGUGUGUUCUAAUGUUCUUCCAGUUUCACUUGCAUGUUUUAUCCAUCCACAUGUCUGAAACUCUAAGACAGACAAGGGAAUGAUAGAGUGCUUUGCAUCCGCUCCAAUCUCCAUGUAUCUGUGGGCAGGAGUAUUUUGGGCCGUUUAUGUUAUGUGAUAUGGGCUUAGAUAAAGGACUGUGUUCAUAUUUAUUUGUCUUUGUACAAUUUUAAAAAAUGUUUUACUCACACUCCUCCUCUACAUUUUUUUUGAAUUUCGGUUUCAUUCGAAUUAAAAAGAAGUCAUAGAGGCAAUAACAUCAUCCUCGAUAAUAGAGAAAACCUCCUUAGGAACCUCUACACUAUAGGGAAAUAAUUGAAAGAAUGAUAGAUUAUGUAGUAAGAAAAAUGAUGUGUAAAUGAGAUAAAAGAUAAAGUAAGGUGUGGGCAAAUUUUAUAUCAUUUUAAAAGGGGAGUUGAAUUUCCUACCCAUAUCAUUCAAUUUUGCACCUCUCUAAUGGGGCCUUCAUUAUCCAUUAAAAAUGUGAGAAUAUGAUAUCCUCAGUUAUUUUUUAGAAUACAAAAGACUAGAUUUUAAAUUUUAAAAGUUUAUUAUAGAGAAACAUACCAAAUUUUUUUUAAGGGGUAAUAGAUAAAUUACAUUUAAUAGACAAAUUGCCAAUUUUUUUUAAUGUAGUGUCUGUUAACCUACCAUUUAAAACCUGUAUGUGUUACUGUUGUUGAUGCUAGAAAAUGUUUUUUAAGCGGUGUGGGACUUACUCAUGUGUUUUCUUGCUCAUGUGUUAAACAUACGCUAGUGAAUGAUGCAAAUAAUCUCACAGAUUCGUUUAUGGAGGAGAAUACCACCUUGCCUCAUUGCCUGGGUUUAAUGAAUUGAAUGUUGCAAACAAUAAACUUUAUGGAAGAAUCCCAAAUUCUAAGAGCAAUGUUAACCAGGAUAUAUAUAUAUAGGGAAGGAUAAUCCCAGCCCAUCACCUAAAAGUUCAUUGUCACCAAACUCAACAGCUCCAAACACAAGGGAGGACAAGGAAAGCUAAAAAUCUAACCAUGUAAUGUAGGGGUAAUUGUGCUUGCUGGGGACACUCAGAUGGUUGAAGUAGGAAACAUGGGACUCAUUUCUAUGUUUAAGCCAGAAGCAAAUUUCAAGCAACUUGUAUGUCCCACACCGGUUAAAAAAAAUUCAUGUAUCAGCAGCACUAGUUGAACGGGAAGGUGAUCAAUUUCUUUAAAAUAUAAGUUUUUGGCUUUUUGUAAUGUACAUGGACAUGAAAGUGAUUUUCAGUAUAACACUGGUAAGGAACAUGGACAUGUCAAUUUUGAUGACAACGUUAAGUUAAUGAGAUUAAGUCCUAUGAAGUUCCAUGGUGUGUUGCAGUUUUGGAUUGUUAGCACCGUAACUAUGUAUUUGCUAAUUCUAAGUACUCUCAAUCCCACCUAAAGGAAUUAAGGUACACAAUAAUGGAAUAAACAACUUCAAAAUGCAGGGUCAAUAUUAGACGAUCUGUGUCAUUUUUCAUAACACAAGUUCUUUUACCUCUGAUCAGUACAAGUUUCAUAAAAGCAUAUAAAGUUUAACAAAUAUUAUUAGCCCCCUGACUCCUUGAAUCUGCAAUGCAAUGGUAUAUCUUCCAUGCUGCUAAAGGAGUGGCAAAGUGUAGGCAUACAAAUUUGGAUCAUGUAUAUUUAUCCCCAAAAGAAAUGAAGCCCGAGCAUGAAUCAAUACUAGAUUCAAAUGAAUGGAGAAGUGAUUAUAGAGUAGUAGGUGUUUGCAAGAGAUGGUAAUUGACAAGUGGUGGUUUAGUUAUUGAACUCGAGCACUGAAUACCUGAAGUAGCUUUUAAAUUGCUUGUAUGAAUUGGAGGAGUCCCACAUCACUAAGAUUAGCGAAACAAGUGCAGAGAGUGGCAUAUAAAACUGAGGUGUGUGAUACAGAGUAACAUACUUACCUGGAUGGGGUCAAUGGGUGAUCAAGAAGGCCCAUGGCCUAGGUUGGUGACCUCCAUUGCACUUAGGAGGGGUGCUAACCUAAGGUCUACCCAAGUGGUGGAGCCUACAUCAUAAUUUGUGGCAGUGGGGGCCUGCGUUCGCGCGGCCCCUACCCAGUUUAGUUUAAAUUUUUCUCCCUGGGGCUUUGCAAUAUGAAGCCCUUACAAAUUUUUGAAAGCCCAUCUCUCCAUGUGACUUGAUAAUUGACUGGUACUUUGCUGGAAGUAGCAAAGCAACAAACUAGUGUAUCUCAGUCUUCAAGUCUUAUGGUGAUAAUAACAAGCUUAAUUGAAAAAAAUAUGGUGAUGACUGGAUGGUUUUUUGGGCAUAAUAGUUCUGAUUAUUCAUUAUUCAAGAAGAUGACAGAAACAUUGAUUACAAAAACUGAGAUUAAGUAAACGAAUACUAAUAGUAAUUCAUAGUAAAUUAAAAUCCUAAAAGAUUGUAGGCCCCAGUAAGUUACUACUACUAUUGUCUACUUGAAUUAAAGUACAUUUGGAUCUAGCAUGACUGUUUUUCCUUCAAAUAAUUGCAGAGCCAUCAAAACAAUGCCACAUUGCAAAUCUGGUUGGCAGGUUUAAUUCCAUAAGGAGAAGUGGGCUUUGGGGAUAAACUUUUCUUUUGAAUAAUCCCUUCCAAACAGGUUGUAUAUCUUGGAUCUAACCCCUCCUCAAUUCUAGUGUUAACUCUUAUUUUUCAUUCUUAUUAAUGUACAUUAACUUCGGAUUUUUGUGGGUAGCAAUUCAUCUUAGGUUAACUACGUGUGAUUGUUCAUUUGUUCUAAUAGUGAGACCAGGAUGGUAUUAUAAACACAAAGCAGGUAAGUGAUUAUUACAAAACAGAAGCUUAAAGUCAAGAAAGAAUGACGGAAGAUGCAUUUAUUUUCAUUGCAAGAGUUGACAAUUUAAGGUCUUGAACCAUCUUGGCAUUAGAAGACAUCAUUUUGUGCCCCCUACCAAGGACACUUUAAAGUUUAAAAUAUUGCAUACUAAUUUUUUCUUAUCUGGUGUUAUAUGUAGCCUUUUUAAGAUCGUCAUGGAUGUUUCUUGUGUAAAGAUAAUGAUUAUCAUAUAAGGCUUAUUUUUGCAGGAAAAAACUACUGAAUUUCAAAACCUAUCUUUAGUUCAAAGCUUGAACCCUUUAGUUAUAAUGUAUCAUUUAAUCUUUAUAAUCUACCUUUUCUACUCAUUUUAGCCUUCACCUGUCCUAAAUCUAACUCUCUCCAGAGAUGUGCUACAGCUAUAUCAAUCAUGAAGCUUGGGAAAAUCAAGACACGAGCACAAUAUGAAGAAGUACUUUAGCUAAAAUGUGUUGAGUUAACCUGUUUAGAUAGCAUUUAAGUGCACAUUUGAUCAGGACUUGUUCAUGAAGAAAACCCAGAACUUCUAUUGAUGGCAUAAAGAAGGACUUCUCAAAAAAUAUAUUAAUAAAUAAACUUAUUUUUUAACUAAUACUUUGAAGUUAAUCUCUCAUAAUUCUACAAAAUUUAUUUGCUUUUCCAGUCAUGAAACAACUUUUUAAUCCACUGAUGUCAUUUUUUUUUUCUUUGCAUUCCAUAACCAUGAGAUCGGAUUUGAGACUUUCCUUAAUUUUUUAGUAUGCUACCUGAUAGAUAUACCAAGUAUGAAUGUUUGUUCCUCAUCGUGCCUUAAUUAACAGCAUAGUGCAUUGGGAUCUCAAUAUUUGAAGUAAAAGAAAGAAGCAACACUGAAUUAUAUAUUUACUUUCCUUUGAGCAAUACGGCUUGCUGACACACCACUUGCAGCCUUCUUUAAAGAACCUGUUAAGUCCCACAUCGGAAACAUGUUAUUGAUAGCAACCAAGAAUUCAUAUAAAACUGAGGUGUGUUGACCAUGCAAUUAAUCCUUAUUGCACGAGCAUUACACUAUACCUUGAUGUUGUUGUGUUUUCUUAUGAUGUGGUGUUACACUAUGCAUUCAUUAGGCUUACACCAAAAAAUACACAAACAUAAUCAACAAUUAAGUGGUAGUUAGUGAAGUUAAUUUAUUAUCUCCCUCUCCCCAAACGAUACACCAAUUCCCAUCAAAAGAAAAUGAGGCACCCAAUUUCUUAUAUAAAUCAUACAUUGCCUUCCAUAUUUUCUCACAAUCUUGUCUUGUAAUCUGAAUAUUGCACUAGCAAAAACCAGCAUUUUCACUUUCUAAGCAAAUACUAUCAGCAACUAUGGCCUCUUCUAGCUAUGCUUUGAUAACCAUCCCAUCCGCCUUUGUGAAACCUUCAAUUGCCAACCCAAGAUCAUUGCUCACUGCACCACCUACCAAGUCAUUUUCACCCUUCACUUCAACAACUCCAUCUCUCACCAUGAAUCUCAAGCUGAACAACACACUUCCACACUCUUGCUUUUAUUUGGUGCCUAAGAAAUCAUUCACUUGUAGAAGCCAAGCUACAGAAUCUUCUGACACCGAAAUUAAUUAGCAAAGGUUAUUGUACAAUCUAUAGCAAACAUUGAUAUAAAAACUAAGAUUUAGGAAGGAUGAGAUGAAUGAAUGAUUUUCAGGAAGGAUAAAGAAGAUUUUAACAUGGAGAAGCCCCAAAUAUCAAAAUGAAAAGGAUUUGAAUAGGCAUGAGCAUCAUUCCAAGUGAACAAUAAAUAGUGGGUAAACUUGUUUACAAAUCAGUUCUCAUGAACUUGGUCAUUUUCAUUAUGGAGUUCAGCACCAAACCUCAUUAACUUCCAUGUCAAAGUGUUCUGUUUCAUGCACUUCCUUUUUACUUCAUGUCCCCUCCCCCGCCCCCCUUCAAGAAUUAAUUGAAAAGUUGUGCCGGAUGGCACUUUACCCAUAUUGCAUACUACUAUUUUUUUAUACUUAGUGAUUAAGCGUGACUUUUGACAUCACGAUGGAUGAUAUCUUGUGCUAAGAUAGAGAUUAGCAUUUAAGGCUUAUUUAGCAGGAGAAGGAGAACUGUGAUCCAUUGAAUCCAAUAAGUGAUCAUAGAGUAGGUGUUUGCAAGAGUUGAAUCUCCCACUUUCUUGAUUGGAGGUAUACAACUCGAGCACUGAAUACUUGUAGUAGCUUUCCAAGUGAUUGUUCCAAUGAGUCCCACAUCACUAAGAUUAGCGAAACAAGUGCAGAGAGUGGCAUAUAAAACUGAGGUGUGUGAUACACAGUAACAUACUUACCUGGAUGGGGUCAAUGAGUGAUCAAGAAGGCCCAUGGCCUAGGUUGGUGACCUCCAUUGCACUUAGGAGGGGUGCUAACCUAAGGUCUACCCAAGUGGUGGAGCCUACAUCAUAAUUUGUGGUAGUGGGGGCCUGCGUUCGCGCGGCCCCUCCUCAAUUUUAGUCCAAAUAUUUCAUUGGUUCUUAAUAUAAAAUUUCAGUCUUUAAUAUUGUAGUUAUAACUAUUUCACACAUUUAAGAAACAUGGUUACUUUAUUUGUAUUAAACUUAUUCUCAAAUCUAUACAAUUUCAAAAAAUAUAUUUUAUGCACGGUAAACCUUCAACUUGUUUCUUAAGAGUAAAAUUAUUUUUAAGGUUGUGACGAGAAGGCCCAUUGAUGAUGUGAAAGACCAUGGAACACCAUGAUCUAAAGAUGGUAUAAAAACAAGUUGAACUUGUUAAAGAAAUUACAGGAUCAAGCCUAGUGGAAGAAGGUCCAGCAUCAAGUGAUGAGUCAAUAUCAGAGAGGAAGAAGCUAAAGAGGGUAUCUACAGGUUUAAUUGUAAGAGGAAAGCAAAGUCCAUCUCCAAUGUACUCUCUUAUCACUGAUAAAAAUCCAUCUGAGAGCAUGACCCCUUACAUCUCUUUCUUUUAUCCACAGAUAAGUUCACAUGAGCUAGCCCCACACUGAUAUAUAUAUAUAUAUGCUUACCAUCCUUUUCACUCGAGUAUCCACCCUAAAUUAGAAAAGGACUAAAUUUUUCUACCUUUUCUAAUGUACACUAACUCAUUUUAGCCUUGACUUGCCCUGAAUUUUCUGCAGUGAAGUUGAUCUUUCAGGUUCCAACCAUGUGUGAUAUUGAUAAUCCUAGAAAUUUAGACCGCAAGAGAGGUGAUACAAUUAAAUGGAUGCUAAUGGAUGGAGCACAUUUUCUUGGGGCAAAACUCGUCAUAGUUUAGAUUUAGAUCNNNNNNNNNNNNNNNNNNNNNNNNNNNNNNNNNNNNNNNNNNNNNNNNNNNNNNNNNNNNNNNNNNNNNNNNNNNNNNNNNNNNNNNNNNNNNNNNNNNNNNNNNNNNNNNNNNNNNNNNNNNNNNNNNNNNNNNNNNNNNNNNNNNNNNNNNNNNNNNNNNNNNNNNNNNNNNNNNNNNNNNNNNNNNNNNNNNNNNNNNNNNNNNNNNNNNNNNNNNNNNNNNNNNNNNNNNNNNNNNNNNNNNNNNNNNNNNNNNNNNNNNNNNNNNNNNNNNNNNNNNNNNNNNNNNNNNNNNNNNNNNNNNNNNNNNNNNNNNNNNNNNNNNNNNNNNNNNNNNNNNNNNNNNNNNNNNNNNNNNNNNNNNNNNNNNNNNNNNNNNNNNNNNNNNNNNNNNNNNNNNNNNNNNNNNNNNNNNNNNNNNNNNNNNNNNNNNNNNNNNNNNNNNNNNNNNNNNNNNNNNNNNNNNNNNNNNNNNNNNNNNNNNNNNNNNNNNNNNNNNNNNNNNNNNNNNNNNNNNNNNNNNNNNNNNNNNNNNNNNNNNNNNNNNNNNNNNNNNNNNNNNNNNNNNNNNNNNNNNNNNNNNNNNNNNNNNNNNNNNNNNNNNNNNNNNNNNNNNNNNNNNNNNNNNNNNNNNNNNNNNNNNNNNNNNNNNNNNNNNNNNNNNNNNNNNNNNNNNNNNNNNNNNNNNNNNNNNNNNNNNNNNNNNNNNNNNNNNNNNNNNNNNNNNNNNNNNNNNNNNNNNNNNNNNNNNNNNNNNNNNNNNNNNNNNNNNNNNNNNNNNNNNNNNNNNNNNNNNNNNNNNNNNNNNNNNNNNNNNNNNNNNNNNNNNNNNNNNNNNNNNNNNNNNNNNNNNNNNNNNNNNNNNNNNNNNNNNNNNNNNNNNNNNNNNNNNNNNNNNNNNNNNNNNNNNNNNNNNNNNNNNNNNNNNNNNNNNNNNNNNNNNNNNNNNNNNNNNNNNNNNNNNNNNNNNNNNNNNNNNNNNNNNNNNNNNNNNNNNNUUCUUCACCUUUGUUCUACGAGUUCUGUAGUAUUUUCCCUAAUUUUUCCGCUUCCCCUGUAAAAUACGCUUGUCUGUUCCUUUUAUAACAAUUUUGUUUGCUCAAGCGGUCCAAAGUUCGCUCAAGCGAACUCUUUCUUCAACGUGAAGGAAGGAAUUGGGAACCGCCUUUCAACCGCUCAAGCGACCAAAUGUUCACUUGAGCCAACUUCAGAGCCAAACACUCAAAACCUUAUGUUGCAAGAUGGCUUGAGCAAACUUCUGAGCCAAGCACUCAAAAAAACCUUAUGUUGCAAGAUGGCUUGAGCAAACUUCUGAGCCAAGCACUCAAAAAAACCUUAUGUUGCAAGAUGGCUUGAGCAAACUUCUGAGCCAAGCACUCAAAAAAACCUUAUGUUGCAAGAUGGCUUGAGCAAACUUCUGAGCCAAGCACUCAAAAAAACCUUAUGUUGCAAGAUGGCUUGAGCAAACUUCUGAGCCAAGCACUCAAAAAAACCUUAUGUUGCAAGAUGGCUUGAGCAAACUUCUGAGCCAAGCACUAUUCUUUGAUGCUUUCUUAUGAUUCAAGCCUCUUUGAAGCAAAUCUUCAUUCCCAAUUCAUUCCUACACCAAAAUUUGAUAAUUAACACUUAAAUUCUACAAGGACCUCUAGUAAACCAUAUCUUCACAAUUGAGGGUAAAUUUGAUAGCUAUUUCACAUUUCUAACCUAAAUUAGCGCCCAAGAAUGAUAUGAAAAUUAAGUAGAUUUGACACUUAUCAAACCCAUUAUUCGUUCAACCAACUAAAUAUUCCAUGUUAUUGCACUUCUUUUAUCAUUGAAAUCAAAAUUUUGGUGUCCACUAGGGUGGACCUCCUUUUUUUGUCCACCAGUGCACCAGGGAUAUGACUAUGUAUCAGGGGUAUUUUUAAAAGUUACCCCCCCUUCUUCCUACUUUUGGACCUCUCUCACCUAGUACCACUACCACUCUGCCUCUCCUCCUCUCUGUUGCUUUUCAAACCCAUAAUCUUUAACCUCUAGACAGUCCCUACGUCACCAACCCACCCUCCGACUAUAGUUCAUUGGAGUUCCACUUGGGUUCCAAAGCUACGAACUUUGAAUCUCCAGUUAAUAGGGUCCGUUAUGGGUUUCAACUAAAGAAGAUUCAAUUUUUCUUCUCCCUUGUUCCUGUUUUUGGGUUUUUAAUUUUUAAGGCUGAGAUCAGGCAAUUUCUAGCGGAGACUAGAUUCAGAUCUGAGACUCACACGUUGUCCACAACAAAGGACUCAAUCUGCGGAAAAAGCCCAUUAACCAAAAAAACGUUCAUUCUCAACAAAACAAGAAAGAAAUAUUGAAGGAAAGAAAUUUAAUGACAAAUGUUUUUCCCUUUUUUGUGAUUGUGACCAAUUUGAUUUCAAAUUCGAUUUUUCCACCGACCCACCCAAACCAAAAACCCUUAUUUCCUCCUUCCUCCACCAAAUCCUUCUCCUCUGCCUGAGCAACACCGUUCUAUUCCUCUGCAUCUGUUAUUGUCCGACCGCAGUCGGCGACAAAGAUGGAGCUGGUUCCGGAAACAGAGACUCAGAGAUGGAGCGGGCUGUAGCGACAAUGAAAGAGAUAGGCUAGGAUGAGAUUGUUCUAGAAUGAGGGAGAAGAAGAGUAGGUUGUCUUAAGGGUUGUCAAUUUCCAUUUUUUUGCUUUUAAUCAUCAUCCAAUCCUAACCGUUCAAUCAAAGAAUGUUUCAAGAUUCUUGGAUCUAAUGAUAUUUAAGUCUGGUGCACCGGUGGAUAAAAAAAAAAUUGCCCACCAUAGUGUGGGGCAGGGCACCAUUAACCUUUUUUAUUUUACAUCAAAAGUCCUUACUUCAAAUCAAAGGAAAGAUGAUUGAUGUAUGCAAAGCCUAAAAUUAACAGAAAUGAAUAAUUAAUUAAAAAGGAUUAGCACUAAUCGGUUGGCAAUAUUAACAAACAAAGUGGUUGGUGACUUGGGUUGUAAAGGUUUAAGACAUUAACAUCCCAAACCAAUUCCUCAAAUCGCCGAACCUAACCAAGGUUUCAGAUCCAACGCACUCAGAUCAGAUCUCUGUUGUUCUUCAUUUUUCUCAAAAUAGCCCCAGGUUAGUUCCACGCUUGUUAAACAUUACUUGUAUUAAUCAAAUUUCACGUUGGCAUUCAACAAAAUCCAUGUGUUUGAUUCAAAGAUUGCAUUUUAAUCGAGCUUCUUCAUGUUUGGGGCUUGCAAGCUAAUUUUUAGUUCAAAGGGUGUUCAUUUUGCUAUCAAAGUGAUGCUUUUUUAUUCAGCUUCACGUUUCCUGGGUUUGAGCUGAUUUUUGUUCAAAUGGGUCAUCAGGUAUCAUUCCUUUAUGCUUAAAUAGUAAUGUGAAUGACAUUACAAAACAACCCAGAAUUUAUAUUUACCUAAUUUUUGCCAAAAAUUAAUCUUUAGUUAUUUUUAAGCAUUAUGGCACCAAUGGGUCUUAGGUAGCUGGGGGUAUGUUGUUUUUUAAUCAAUUUCAUAUUCAAUUGGAAGUUUGAAGAAUUGUUAUAUUUGCUUUAUGUUUUUCAGCAAUUUGUACUGUGAAUUCAUUUGAAUAUAAUUUGAGCAGAUUUAGCCAUCUCCAAUGAGAAUUUUGACUUGUCCAUGUACAGGUCAAGCUGGUGUCCUUACUUUAAUCUAUCUAAGAGCUCUACAAGUUGGUUUAUUUGGAUUGGAAUAUAUCCCGGUAUCUUCUUCAGGCGUGAAGACGAUAUAUAUUUAGCUACUGACUAUUUGUUGAUCCCGACGUGAUUUGACGACGGGUUUGAUUAAGAAGGCAGGUCCUGUGCCUGACAGCAGAUUAUGCAUUAGCUGUGUUAUGCACCCAAGUGAACUUAUGUUGUGGGAUUUGGUGACAACUGGUGAUAUUAAACAUCAUUUGGCUGGACGGAUUUUUGUUGGAUUAUACACAUGGAUUUAACUCGGCAUACAGUGGGAGAUGGUUCAGAGUGAAUUGGAGUUUGAGAGCAGUGAAUUUUCAGUGAUUAGUGAUAUUGGUAGUGAAAGCUUAGGCUCUGGCAUUCGUAGAGAACUAUCGUUUUCCGGUUGGUAUGAUGAGGAUGGAAGGGUCCAUUUGGAUCAGCAAUUAAGUAAUGAAGAUGUUUGUGUAGAAGAAGACUCUGAUUUUGAGUUACCUUUUCCUUAUAACAAUGAGCUGCAAAGCAGACAUUUAGAUAGAGAGAGAUUCUUUUACCAAAAGUAUCAGCAAAGGUGUUUGCAAAUGAAUGGUUCUGGUGCCAUGGAUGAUGAUUCUAUUUCUCAGAUAAAUAAUGGUUCUGUAAAGUAUGUUCCUUUUGACAUUGAAAACGACCCUGAAAGGGGAGCAAUUGGUGUUGACUCCAACAUUUCUGUGGGUGUUGAUGGAACUUUGGGAAAAGGCUCCCAGGAUACUAUUUCUGUAGCAAAUAUAUUGAAGACGUUGUUUUUCAUAUUCAUGUGGUACACUUUCAGUCUAUUUUUGACCUUGUAAGUUCCUGGUUUACAUUGUUUGUCUUUUCCGCAAUAUAUACCCGUUUUGGUAUUAUUUACAAUGCGAAUCCUUUCUUUUCCUUCAUAUCUUAUUCAGAACUUUUUCCCCUUCAUAUAGGUACAAUAAAAGUCUGUUAGGAGAUCAUAUGGGGAAGUUUCCAGCUCCUUUUUUAAUGAAUUGUGUCCACUUUGUAAUGCAAGCUGUUUUAUCAAAAUUCAUCACCUGGUUUUGGUCUGAGAGGUUUGAGACUAACGUUGUCAUGUCCUGGAGGGAUUACUUUUUGAGAGGUAAAUUUUAAAUUUCUUUACCUCAUCCUUUCUAUUCUAACUUUGCCCAUUUUAAUAUGCUUCUUAGGUAUGUAACACUGUGACGUGCUAACAUAUUUUGGCUAAUAAUUUUAUGUUAUUAAUAUUACUUAUUAACUUAAAUGAUGUGAGUAUUCAUUUAAUUCUUUUGAUGAUAGCUCAUCUGAAUUAGGAUUUAUGUUUUUCAUCAUUUUUUAACUCAUUAUUCUAAUGUUACUGGGGGUACAAUAGUAGAGACCGAGGCAAACAUUCUAGGGUCUCACACUUGUAGGCCGAGUGGUUCUUUGACAUGGAGAGACAAAUAUUGAAAUUCAGCAAAUUCAAUCCUUUCUGGUCAUUAAAGUCUCAUUUGGAAUAAUGUUCUAUCAAAGUCUCAAUGGAUAUAUGUUUCUAAGUUGUAUCAUCUUUAAACAUUCUGUUAUUUUUAAUAGAGAGAUUUUCUUGAAGAGGAAAGAUUUGGUCAACUAAAGGAAAGCAGACAGCUAUUAGAAUAUUAUAUGUAAUCCUUUGUUACGUUUCCAGUAAGUUUGUUCUGUUGUAAUUUUUAAUUUAUUGUUCGUAUCUUUUCUCUUUUUAGUUUCUAUUGGUUCUAGGGAGUUGGGAAGUCUUACGAGACCUAAGGGGGAAUGGGAAAUGGGGAUAUGAGGGAUCAAACAUCACCACAUAUCCACAGCUACCUGGUAAGGACAAGUAGAGAUACUAGUUAAGCUACUUUUCACACUCGGAACAAUGUCCAAUAAUCUUACGUGAUUAUGUACUCCUAAGCUCUAUCACCUCUAACUACAUUAUUUUUCAAAAAAAGAAGGUUUUCUUGAAAAGGAAAGAAAUUACCAACUAUCCACAUGAUUCUUACCAUACUUCCAAGAAGUUUCUUGACACGCUGCAUGAUUUUGUUUGAAGUUAUUCUUGUUUUCAAAAACUCUAUUUUUUAAUAAGGUCCCAGCAUAGCAUUAUCACUGUUUGUAUUGCCAAGUAUCGUGUGCUAUAUCUUCUUUCUACCUUUCCUGUAUGAAAAUAUCUUUCCUAAAGAUAGUACUUCACUAGCAGAAGAAUUUGAAUCACAUUGCUCUUUCCAUGAGAUGAGGACUCCUAUAUUUGUUAGAUUUAUGAAAGCAUGGAACAACAAUUCCAUUAUUGCCUCAUUCCUUAGAAACAGGAUUGCAGAAUAAAGUCUAUUCCUCCCUAGUUAGGUUGGGAUUGGGAUUCAAUUCCCUGUAGAGUGAGACUUGAUUUUUCUGUUGCCAAUAUUCUUUGUUAAUUUUAAAAGAUGACAACUAUUACCCCUGUUAUAUUUAAUCUCACUAAAAUCCAUGAGAAAUAUAGCGUGCUAUCGCUAAAAUAUUAAAAAAGGAGGUGAUGUGAUUAAAAGUUUGAAGUCUAUAGUCUCUGUAUUGUACGGGGUACCUAUAUUUCCAAUGACACCUUUUUUCGCAUGAGCAUAGAUUUUUUUCUUUUCUUAGUGACUAUUUUUUGUUAUCAAGUUGUUUUUUUCAACAUUAAUAUCAGUAAUACAUAUCCAUAUUACACCAAUAAGAUAUAAAGGGAAAACUGAAAUGUUUUAUUUUCUUAUGAGAUGCAUUUAUGUCAUUUAGGUCAAUUUUUACUUCAUUAUACAUUUAUUCCAUGUAACAAACAAGAAAGCCACUGAGCUGGAGAUUGACAGUGACCAUUUCAUUCUAUUCCAGCUCACUCCAUUCCAUCAUUAUUCCUGUCUCAUUCCCUGGAUUACCAUUUUUUGUACCAAAAAUGGGAGCUUUUAGUUUAUAGAAGUCUAAGCAAUAGGCCAUUCAUCCAUAUAAGAGUCAAUAGCAUUUCACUCUUUAGUAUACCACUUAAUAUAAUGGAUUUAAUGGCACACAUUUAAGAGAAAUUGAUCUCCCUCUUUUAAUCUAUUCAAAGGUGUUUUUAGUUUCUUGGGACUCCUGCUGAACUUUUGUUUAUAUGUACAGACACUCACCCAUGCUCAAGUUUUGAUUAAUUGCCUAAUAUCAAUUCUUUCUAUUUGCUUAUUUGAGUGUUUUUUUUUUGUCCAUUGUAAUGCUCAGAAUUUUAGCGAGACAAAGUGAUAUAACAUUAUCUAGGGUGACUGAUAGUGCCAUUUUUUCUGUUUAUUUACUUCAAUCCUCUUUCUGAUCGUCUCUGUAGUGCACUUUUUUUUUUUGCAAAUUUCUCAUCACUUAUUACAUUAACUCCUAUAUCAACUAAUGCCACAGAUGGACUUUACCUUUCACAGUUGUACCAACUGCUCUUGGAACAGCGAUGGAUGUGAACUUGAGCAAUGCAUCUCUAGUUUUCAUCUCUGUCACAUUUGCUACCAUGGUCUGUGGCAUUUCUUUUAUUUUAAUGUAGAAUGAGAGAAAUAUUAAUUCCAAUGUAUUUUCUUUUCUAGUGCUAUAUCAUAACCAGAUUCAAAGUUUUCCCUUAUUUUAGUGAAAUAACUAUCCUUCCACUCCUAAUUUACCUUUCUUUCUUUUAUCCUUUUGCAGUGUAAAUCUGCUGCUCCGAUUUUUCUCCUUCUGUUUGCUUUUGCUUUCAGGUGGGUUUCCUUUCAUUUUGUCUUUGUAUCCACAAUGACUAUAUGAUUCUGUGAUUUAUUGACAUAAACAUUAUAUAUUCUAAAUUUCUUGGAGCUGCAUCUGUAUGACAUUUUGUGGGAGUAUUGCAUUAAGGAUAGCAAAUAUUAUAUUCUGAAUUCGUACUUACUAUGUGUACGUUUAUUCAGUUAGCAUUAAACAGGUAGAGUUCUUUUAGAAUUGAAGCUUUUAAUACCAAAGUGGUUGAUAGGUACUAGAGCAAUAGAAGACAUGACAGUGCUUGAAUCUAGAAAUAAGGAAGUAAAGGAAUACAUGCAAGAAAGGAAAUAGUUUAGGCAGUUAGAGCAUCUAGUAUCUCCAAAAACUCUUGCUCCUGCGGUCCUGCCAAGUGCCAAUUCCCAGCCUCCCUCGCUCCCCACCCCUUACCAACUCAGCUGUUAGUUGAAUAGAGGAUGACAUUGCAGCAUUUUCUCUCUUAUGGAUAUGAUUCCCCACAUUGACCCCCUUUUACACCUCCUUGCAUACACUUUGGUUAUCCUCGCGGUGUGGGUUUCGUUCUUGAACUUUUAUAAAUUUCACAUUCCUCCUUCUCAUGCUGGGUUAUCAAAAUUACUAGAGUUCUUCGUCCUAUAAUAAAUUUAUAUAUUUGUAAGUGUUGACCACGAAGAAUUCUAUGUUUAAAACAUACAGGGGUGGAAACUGUCAUGAACAAUUGAUAGGAAAGUAUAGUAUUUCUCCUGAAGUUCACCAUAAGAAAUAUCAAUGCCAUUUUCUGGCAAAAGGAGUUGGUUAUUGUAGUUUCAGAGGAAAGUGUGAAUUUUAUGGAUAGUCUUCAUUGCUAAAAUUUUAAAAUUUGACAGCAUAGAAUAAGUUUUGAUUGUUGAUAUUUAAUGUUAAAUCUACUACUUAUUAAAUAUGAACUCUCGUAAAGUGUGUGAGAAAUGAGAGGCAUUGGAUGAAUCCGUGUGUUUGAAACUUAGAAUUACGCGGAGGUUAAUAUAUUUAGAGCUUGUUUGGAUGCGGAUGAAAGAACACUUAUUGGAGCUUAUUUAGUGCAUUUUUUAGUAAAGAAGCUCCAAUAAGGGCUAUUUAGGCCCCGUUUGGGUAAACAGCUUAAUUAAGCGCUUAUGGUCAUAAGCGACCAUAAGCACUUAUGACAUAAGCGCUUAUUCAUAAGCUAUUAUAAAAAAAUCAUUAAAAUAAAUUGAAAAUGAGCUAUAUAUAAGCAUAAGCUCUUUAUCAUAAGCUAUCCUGAGUAGCUUAUGAAAAUAAGCUCAAAACAGCUUAUGGCCUACCAUAACCUGUUUGCAUAAGCUCUCCCAAAUACUUGCACAAGCGCUUAUGCAGUUAUGCUGUCUGAUAGGCUCAAAUAAGCUCUCCCAAACAGGACCUUAGUCUGUACCCAAACAAGCUCAUACUAAAAGACAUAAACACAUAAUUUACCGUUACCAUAAUUAUAUUACUAUGAACCCUAUUUACAUAUUUCUAACACUACCCUCAAGCUGGAGCAUCUAAAUUAUAUGCAACAAGCUUGUUACAUACAUAGCUAAUUGUAGGACCUCUCAAAGACUUAGUAAAGGCAUCACCAAUUGAUCAUUUGAAUUGACGAAACUAGUGUGAUGUCCCCUAAUACGAUAUUCUCUUAAAGAGAAUCUGCCCAAUCUGCAUUUCUUAAAUAUAUUUUAGAAUGCGAAUUACAUCAUUCUAAUGUCCUUCACAUGGUGAGUUAAAAAAUUGACUUAUCACACUCACUGAUACCAUCUUAGAAUUUUGGUUAGUAUUAGUCCUAACCCUGUCUCAAAAGCUAGCUUAGUGGUGAGGAGCCGAGGAUUGAUCUACUAUUUAUAAAGACUAUUUUGACCAUAUCUCUCGUCAUUGUGGGACCUUAACACCCUCUUGACGCCUAGGUCUAGACAUAUGGAGCGGGAAGUUUGCAAGGCUGAAUAUUUGCAGUUGACCCAUUUAUGAGUUACCCAAUAAGGAUCUAGGACAGACUCUAAUAUCAUGUUGCAAGCGAAAGAAAUGAGAGACAGAAUGAAUCCUUGUGUUCGAAUUACACAGCUUAGGAUAAUAUAUAUACUGAGACAUAAGCACAUUUACUAUAAACCCUAUUUACAUUAUUUCUAACUUAAAUUAUAUCCACUGGCCACUUUUUUGAAUACUGCAAUGGUCUCCCAGCCAAGUCCAUUGUACUGAAAAAUCAAACGAUGCAAUGUUUUCUGUCUCUUUUUAUUUCUUAGGUUUUGUUCUCAACCCUAUGGCGUUCUUGGGUUCUGUUGUUGGGUGGGUUUUUGGUGUUAAAGCAUACUCGUAUGCUUGUGUGGUUGUGGAUUUUUAAGAGGUUAUUGGGAGGUUUUUGCUAUAGAAGCUGAGCUAAGACGGGGUUAUUGUACAUUUGUACCCAUGUUGAAAGGGGAUAUAUCUCAACACUCUAUCCUUAUCUAUAUAUUAUAUUUUCCUUUCAAAAAAAAAUUAUAUAGGAUAUGAUAUCAUUAAAAAAUAAGCCAUGAAAACUUUUAAGUGCAGCAAGAUUGCCCAGUUUCUUUUUAUAUCACUAAUGGCAAUUCCAUUGAGGUAACCAUGAGUGUGGGGAAGCCAAGGUAUAAGGAAAAGAAACUGGUCGAGCCGAAGUGAGUUAUGAGUCCAAAAAGGAGAACUGUUUCAGCAAUUGUCCCAUGGACCCAAAGUAUUGAGGGUCUACAUGAGGAGAAACAGAAGGGGAGUUACAAAAGAACAAUGAGCUGUCAGUGAGAGAAAAUGGAAAAUGCAGAAGGAAAUAGUAGUUACCGAGGACCGUGAGGUUUGUCCAUAUUGGAGGCUGGGGGGAUCAGUAUUCGGGGGGAAUCAUUCUGUUAGCAUGAAUGGAGGACAAUAGCUCUAUGUAGGAGCUUGGCUCUAAUACCCUACUGAAUCAAUUACUAUUCUAAUAAUUUACAUAUCAUUUUCUUUUCCCAUUGUCUCUGUUUUACCAUUCUCAUUUUACUGUUGGACAAGUGUGUAUCAGCAACAUUCUUAAAGAAGAAAGCAUUCUACUUCAACCAAAUGCUCCAACAACUUGCAUAAUUUCAUUUUGCCUCAAAAUUUUAGCCUUUUAUAUACAAAAAUCCUUAUAAUGAACCAUAAAAGCUGCUAUUAUGACUUACCCAAUUCUCUCCAAUGUUGCUGAAAAGACUUUUCCCGGAAGUAGCUGCUUUAGAAUGCAAAAUUUGGUGGCCAACAGCCUACUGUUUAUAAGCUAUAUCAUUACGUCACUCAUUGGGAGAAAGAUGGUGUCCGAAGCCUACAAUAAUAUGACCCUAUGUGACACUUUCACAUGAUGUCAUGAGAUUCCAGUUGCUGUUAGAAUGGCUUAUUGUUUUAAAGAAUGCAUUUCGUACCUUUGUUCAACCGUGAACAUAAAACUAUUUCAAUUGAUAUUUCUGUAUUCUCUAAUCUUGAUUCUUGAGUCAUAUUCUUUUCACGCUGUUGUAUAUGUUUUGUUCUCAAAUGAUUGUGUUUUCAGUUGUAUGUCCUUGAGAUGAAGAUUAAUGUUUUUGCUUGGAAUCUUUUUCACCUAUAUUCUGCAAUUAAUUAUAAAAAUUGGUUGAAAGGUUGGAGACACCAAGCUUUAAACUAUCAGGCAUCAUCUUAGUCAUCUCCAUUGGCAUAUUACUAACAGGUAUCAAUAUCUUCCUUCAUUUUCUUGGUAGUAAUUUAUCAUUUCAAUAUGCAUUUAUUUGCACUUAAGAAUUCAGAUCAUUUAAAGUCUUGUACAAGCGCAGGGUAUUUAUUAUGGAUGAUUCUCAUCCGAGCAUGUCAUUGAAUAUACUUUUGAUAUUUUUUGUAUGAAAUAUUGGACCUCAAUUCCAAAAUAAAUAGUAUCCGGACAGAAGUUAGGAAAGAUAUUUUACAUUACGAAGUUAGUUUGAAGUUAAUUAACUGAACAGUUAUCAGAAUUAUAACAGCCAAUGAGUUCUUUGUCACAUUCUUGUUGAAGUUCUGUAUCAAGUAUUGGUCUUUCCUAAAAAUGUUUCAGAACUGUGAUAAAAUAUUUAUACAUUGAAAAACUCUUCAUUGAUUGGUUAUUUCCCCCAUCUCUUGAUCAUAAUUUUCAUUUGCAUCUUAUCAAACUGUGUUUUGUAAGUUUUAGGAAUUUAGCGCACAAUGGAAAUUCAAACCUUCCGGUCUUUAAUUUUAUUUUGGUGGACUGCAGUUGCAAAAGAGACAGAGUUUGAAUUUUGGGGAUUUGUACUUGUUAUGCUUGCUGCUGUUAUGUCUGGAUUUCGCUGGUGUAUGACUCAAAUCCUUUUGCAGGUAUUGUAUCUUCCUUUUCUGUCCAUUAUAUAUUCUAUAUCAACAUGUCUAUUUACACAUAAACACACACAAGCACUUUCACAUUAUUUUUCUACUGCUCUUAACUAAAAUUCUUGCUACAUUUUUCUGCAUUGGAACCUGAUUUUCAUUCUCGUCAUGUGUGGUGAACUGAACCAAAUUAAAAGAAAGAAGCCUAUGGUAAGUUCCCUGCAUAACUGUGUCAAUAAUUUAUGGAAAAUAUUAGUCUUACUUAAACUUCUAUGAUAUAUUGGUUAAUAGUUUCUCUCAAUAUAAUUAUCAAUGUUUUUGGUUGGCUUUGGUCAAUCAAUCCAUAAAUCUGGCAUUUAUCUGUUCUGAUUAUUUAAUUUUAAUCGAUGAUGGAUUCUUUUUGCCCUUUGGAGACAUGUAUAAAUUUCUAUGACUAGAUAGUAUAAAAUUGUAGAUUCAGAAGAUGCCACAUUAAGUCUAUACAUUUGAAAUUUCAGUUGUCGAAGUGUUGAGAAAUUUAAUAACCAUUUAUCUAAGAGUUACUUUAGGGAUAAAAGAUGAUUGAGAUGUGCGGAAAAUGUAUGAUAUUAUAUUGAUNNNNNNNNNNNNNNNNNNNNNNNNNNNNNNNNNNNNNNNNNNNNNNNNNNNNNNNNNNNNNNNNNNNNNNNNNNNNNNNNNNNNNNNNNNNNNNNNNNNNNNNNNNNNNNNNNNNNNNNNNNNNNNNNNNNNNNNNNNNNNNNNNNNNNNNNNNNNNNNNNNNNNNNNNNNNNNNNNNNNNNNNNNNNNNNNNNNNNNNNNNNNNNNNNNNNNNNNNNNNNNNNNNNNNNNNNNNNNNNNNNNNNNNNNNNNNNNNNNNNNNNNNNNNNNNNNNNNNNNNNNNNNNNNNNNNNNNNNNNNNNNNNNNNNNNNNNNNNNNNNNNNNNNNNNNNNNNNNNNNNNNNNNNNNNNNNNNNNNNNNNNNNNNNNNNNNNNNNNNNNNNNNNNNNNNNNNNNNNNNNNNNNNNNNNNNNNNNNNNNNNNNNNNNNNNNNNNNNNNNNNNNNNNNNNNNNNNNNNNNNNNNNNNNNNNNNNNNNNNNNNNNNNNNNNNNNNNNNNNNNNNNNNNNNNNNNNNNNNNNNNNNNNNNNNNNNNNNNNNNNNNNNNNNNNNNNNNNNNNNNNNNNNNNNNNNNNNNNNNNNNNNNNNNNNNNNNNNNNNNNNNNNNNNNNNNNNNNNNNNNNNNNNNNNNNNNNNNNNNNNNNNNNNNNNNNNNNNNNNNNNNNNNNNNNNNNNNNNNNNNNNNNNNNNNNNNNNNNNNNNNNNNNNNNNNNNNNNNNNNNNNNNNNNNNNNNNNNNNNNNNNNNNNNNNNNNNNNNNNNNNNNNNNNNNNNNNNNNNNNNNNNNNNNNNNNNNNNNNNNNNNNNNNNNNNNNNNNNNNNNNNNNNNNNNNNNNNNNNNNNNNNNNNNNNNNNNNNNNNNNNNNNNNNNNNNNNNNNNNNNNNNNNNNNNNNNNNNNNNNNNNNNNNNNNNNNNNNNNNNNNNNNNNNNNNNNNNNNNNNNNNNNNNNNNNNNNNNNNNNNNNNNNNNNNNNNNNNNNNNNNNNNNNNNNNNNNNNNNNNAAGCUUGUAUCCUCUGACCUUUAGAACUUCUGCUUCUGGACCGUUCACUCUGAACUUCUGGUCUUCAGAAUUGGAAGUACUUUGGUCUUGAGAGCCAGCUUACUCUUGGACUUCAAAAUCUUCAGGUCUUCAGCUUCUGGACCGUUCACUCAGAACUUCUGGUCUUCAGAACUUCAGCACUUGAAAUAAUCAGAGUUUACAUCAGAGCUUUAAUCUUCAGAAUAUCUGAAGCGUUUACUACCGUUCAGAAGAACGUAGUGAUUGCAGCAGCGUUUCAUUGGUUACUCUUUGGUCUUUAACUUCUGACAUAUAUAUAUAUAUAUAUAUAUAUAUAUAUAUAUCUUUGAAUCAGAAUCAGAACCUGUUUGUCACACACUUAAAAGAAAAACGUUAGAGUACCCUAAUUGUUCAUAUACAAUAAUAAACUUGUUAUCAUCAAAACAUAGAGUUGUACCACAUGACCAAAUCUUGGUCGUACAAAGAAAAAAUGAUAUUUACAAAUGAUUUGGUGAAGGUUAUUAACACUUACACUGGGUGGUUGCUAUUGAGGUUACAAUUAUAGUUUUUAAUAACUACGCAAGGUAAAUAAUUUUUUGGAAUUGCUAUUGGCGAGGCUGUCUUGUUGAGCUCAUGACAUUUAAAGAUAAAGAACAAGUAUAAUAUCGUAAUAAUUCUAAUUUUUACAUGCGCCAACAUGCAAAAAGGGAAAGAUUUCAUAACAUUUCUCACUGCACAACUUUUUUCCCUUCAUUUUCUAAGGGGGCUAGCUCGCCGGCCCGCCAAAAUAUGUUGAGUUGAGACUAUGAACCCAAAUGUCAAAAGUGUGCUAGUCUAACCCAACCCGCAUUUCAACGAGCCAAUGACGCUCGAGUCAAGCCCGCCAACCCAUAUUGUCACCUAUAAUCACCAUCACCCCCACCACUUUCACCACCAUAAUCAUUGCCACUGUUAUCGUCACCUCCAUCGCUACCACCACUCACACCUAUCGGCCCGACCCUGCACCAUUGUCUCCAUUGACGCACCAUCACCACCCAACACCACCAUCCCCACCACAAACACCUCCACAACCGGUGUCCACUACUAGUACUUGCACAAGCACCCUCCAACACCGCACUUUCACAUCCACCACCACCCUCCACAAUUGUCGCCGCCACCACUAUUGUUGUCGCCACCACCACUUCCACCUCAACCACCAACACUGUCAUUGCUGCCAUUGCCCACUGUAACACCCUAAUUUCUCAACCGGGGAUCACAUUAGUAACCCAACAAGUCUAGGGACUAACUCGGAGUUUUUUUCAAAAGGUGAUAUAGAUUUUCGAAAAUAAGGCCCAUCAUCACCCAAGCAAUAGUCAGAGAUGUUCCCAGGUAAGCGGCCCCGGCACAAUGCCUGAUUAAAAGCCUUCUAACCUUAGACAGAACAACCCAAGAGUUUUUACUUGAAUUCAAGAGUUUAGCCCUCGCUUGAUACACACAAUUCAAUUUUAAUAUUUUCAAAAAUCUUGUAAUAAAUAUAUUACCCAAUAAAUAUUGCGUUAUAUUAACCCAGAUUAAAUUAAUAGAUAACGUCAAAUUUUAAAAUAAUAUUUAGGCAAACGUUGAAAAUCACAAGUCAACUUAAUAAAGUUCUAAGAAAUUCAAGAUCUCUAUCUUCACCGCCUCAAGCUUCUCGUCGCCCAACUGUAUUGCCACAUCGCAAUCCAUAGACUCUAAGCAAGUCAUACUUCAUCACUCGACGGUCGAUGACCUAAUAGCGUUAAGCGUCCCAGUAGCAAUUACCAAACAUAAAGGGUUAACUUCGAAAACAAUGACAACAACAAGAAAAUAACCGAAUUUUAAUUCUUGCAUAGGUUCAAAAUCCAAAUAGAUAACCACAAUAACAACAAACUAAAACUAACAACCCUAUCUUUAAAUUUUGAAAUAAAACAAGAUAACAACAUAUCAUAUAAAAUCAAAUAGAUGACAACAUAGAAACAAUACACAUGAUUAAGGUUUAUCCCCUUAAUCAAAAUACCAACAACAAGAUUAAGGUAUAUCCCCUUAAUCAAACAACCAACAAAUAGAUUAAGGUAUAUCCCCUUAAUCAAACUAAUAACCCGCAAGUUAAUUUCAUGAGUUUUCCAAUAAGUUAAUUCCGUAAAAUUUUCAAUAAACAACAUAUUCCUUUCAACAGACGAUUCAACAAAAGAGAGCAUGUUAUUAACACAAGAAACAACAAUAUAUCCAAAAAUACAAUGCCUUGAACACCUUCACUUCACGUAUCAUGCAAGAAAAUGAAAAACACACAGAUGCACGCAUUAGACAGAAGUUACCCUUACCUCCUUAAGUAGUAGUGCAUGCGAGGGAACCUCAACAAACGAAGGAAAGAAAAGUCAUUGUUGAUCAACAAAGGGAGAGAAGGAGUUCGGCCAAAAGAGAGCAAGGGAAUUUGAGUUUGAUGCUCUCAAGUGUAUUUUUCAAGUGAGGGAGACAACUUCUAGGGUUUUUGGUUUUUCUGUUCACUACGUAGUCCUAUAAGAAAGACUAUUUCUCUAGCCCUAGGCCACUAAGAUUUCAGCCAUAACCACUAAGGGGAAAAUAUUAUGAAUUCCACCCCUUUAGCUUUUUCCUCAAGUCAUGGUUCAACAAUUUCCCAUAUUUUAAUUUUUAGAUGAAAUCUCAACAUAUUUUCUUUCUGAAAAUUCAUAAAAUAACAAUUUUAAAUGUUCAUCAUAUAAAAACUUAUCAACAAUCAAUUUUAUGAGAUUUCUCCUAAUUUAGAAGCUUCUCUAAAAAUUUGAAACCAAAAUAACUUAAAUUUCUUGCUUAACAAGCAAUUCCAAGUUUUAUUAAUUAAUUAAGAUAAAAAUACCAAAAUUCUGAAAUUAAAUAUUUUAUUACUUAUAAAGUAUUUAUAAUCAUCCUAAGAUUAUUUUCUAAUAUUUCUAUAACCAUCUUUCAAUUUUUUUUAAAAACAAAUCUCCAAGAUACAAGUUCUAAAUUACCUAUUUUAACAUUUAGUUAAAAUAAAUACAAAUCAAUCAAGGAUUUAUUUAUUUUUAUUAAAAAUAAUUAUUUUUAAUGAUAUUCAGAUAUUCAACUAAUUUUAUUUAUUUGUGUAACAAAAAAAAACUAAUUUUAUUUAAGGUUAUCAUAUUUUCUUAAUUUCCAAAAGAUUUGGUCAAGAUUUGUGCAAAAAUCUCUUUUUUAAAUCCAAAUUAAAUAUAAUAGCACAUUUUUUCUCUCUCCUAGUCACUAUUCACGAAAAUUCCAGAAUUUAUAGAGUUAUUUUAAUUUCUUUUUCUUUUUAUAACUUAUGUAUUUAAUUUAAUAAUUUUCGUAAGUCUAUUUCUAUUUAAUAUCUAUUUCUGCUGUUUUAAUAACAACAUUUUAACUUCAAAAUAAUUUCUAUGCUACACAACAAUAGUUUAGCCUAAAAAUAACAACAAAAAUAAUACUAAUAAUAGCUCAUGAGAAAUUUCUCACAUUCUCAUGCACACCGUGCAAUUCAACCAGUCUCUCAUUUCCAACGAACAGUCAAUCAUUUGACAACAAUCAGUUGCACCACCACCGCAACCACAACUAUCUCCACCGCUAACGACACUGGCAUCGCCGUCGCCACUAGGUAAUAUCGACCUCUACCACCCUACCCCUCCACUAUCAUAUUUCAUUCACCACCCACUACCGUGAAUUUAUAAAUCAGUAAUUGUGAACGUACAAAGUUGACUAUAACAUUUUUGAAACUGAAAACCACAAAAAAAAAUCUAAAACUGAAAACUAGUUUUUUUUUUAAGAUUUCAAAACAUAAAACCAAACACGACCCUGAACGAUGUAACAUCCUAUUUUUCCCUCCACUAAUUUAAUAGAUUAUUGGUAUUAUUAUUAUUAAUAUAAUUAUUAUUGUGUGUGCAUUAUCAUAAAAUGAAACGAUUUAAAAAGAAAAUAUGUUUAUGAAGUAAAUAAUUAUUUUGAGUCAAGAUUCUAAACUUAGUACCUUAAUAUGGAAUUGUUAGAAAUUAAAUUCAAGAAAAAUCAAAUAAAAUAUAAUACUUUGACAAAUGAUUAAAAAUCAAAACCUAUUUCUCACACACCUUGGAUGAUCCACGAAUUUGACUAAAUAUGUUUCAAUCUGAUGUAUUUAGAAGGAUUAAUUGCAUGAAGAAUGCAACUUGUCUUUAUGGUAGAAAGACAAGUGCAAGGACACCAGUUUUCAUGCAUGAAUUUUCAUAAACACUUGUCUUUGUGCAUGAACUUUCUAGACCACUUGUCCUUCAACAUUCUUCAACCCUUGGCCUAUAAAUUUGACCCUUCUGCAGCCCUAAGGUCACACAACACUUCAGACUCAACCUAGCUUCAGGAAUCAGAGAAAGAAGCUCCUAAUUUCCCUUACAAACCUUUAACUUGUUCUUUAUUUUCUCCUUUUGGUUCGCGAAAUCCUCUUCCAUUAUCUCUAAAACCACUUCAAUUAUGUUUCUGGGUGUGUAAGGAUUUAAUCUGGAGAGUUUGGCAAAGUUCUGGGCACGUUUUCUUGAGUUUUGGGUUCAAUCUUCAACUUGUUCUUCAUCUUCAACCUUUACCUAUUUUUGAAACCUUCUCAAAUCGCUCCAAAACCACCACCAUCAUGUUCCCGGAAGCCUAAAUAUCUAACCUGGAAAGUUUGGUAAAGUUCUGGGCUGAUUGAGGUUAUUUAUGGGCACUUUCUUAAAGUUGUUCAUCGUGUUCAUCGCUGCCACUGUGCUGUCAAGUUUUCCGGCGAGAAUCGUCAACUUAAAACGUGUUUUUAUCCCUCGUCCAAACUCCGAUUGAGACGAUUUAAAAAGGGUUGUUCUUCUAGAAGAAAGGAGAAUCUGAAUCCGUAAUCCAUUCAUCUCUGGCGAGGAACUCCGCCGCUGCCGCCGCCGCAUCUUCAUCUUCUCCGGCGAGUCAAUUUCUGGAAAUUUCCAGAUUUGCGAUUUUGAGGUUCUUUCACUUCCAGAACCUAUUUCUAAGCUUAUAUUAAUGAUUUUAAGCAUGAAAAACAUACCUUACAACCCUUAAUUUAUGAAUUUCAAAUUGAAUUAAGUUAUGGACAUAAAUAAUGGUUUUGGAUAUCAUGAACUAAUCUUAUGUGUUGCUUUAACUUAUGAUGAAUUAAAGAUGAAUUUAACUUUAAAAUACGAAAGAGUCAACUAAGUUAUGGAUGUUUUCAUGAAAUAUUGGACUUUUAAGCAUAAAUGCUCUCAAAAUGGUGAUUUUCAUGAUUUUCACAGAUGGGAAUUGUAUUUUUAUUUUUAUGUGAUUUCUCAAUCGACAGAUCUGAAACAAUUUCAAAUGAAAUAAGAACUUGUUAGUUUUGAUAAUUUUAUUAUCUUGGAUUAAUUGGAUUACUAGUAGUUAAUUAUGCUCUAUUAAAUGAAUAAUUUCUAAUUAAUCUUGAUGAUAAAAUGAUGAUCUAAGUUAACCUGGAAUAAUGGUAUAAUAUGAGACUAAGUAAAUGAAUGGUCUAAGUAAGUUGACUUGGCUUAAUUGCACUUUUGGUCCCUGAUGUUUGACCUUUGUGUAAUUUCAAUCCCCUUUGUUCUAAUUGCGCGAUUUUAGUCCCCUUUGUUUCAAUUUGUGAAAAUCAGGUAUGCCGUUAGCUUUCGUUCAAUUUUAAACGGAAUAUUCUUAUUUAGAUUCCUCAUCAAAUAAAUAAAAAAAUGAAAAUAAAAAAUAAAACAAAUUAAAUAAAAAAAAUUCAGUAAUUAAAACACCUGUUUUUAAGUGUAAUUUUCAUCCAUUAAACAAUUCAUCAUAUUUAUCAAUUCAUCAUCAUCUCCCAACAUCUUGAUCCAUAAAACACCCGGUGUUCUCACCCAUUAAACAAUUCAUCAUCUUGAUCAAUUCAUCAUCAUCUCCCAACAUCAUCAUCUACAUCAAUUCAUGUCUUCAUCCAUCAUCAUCAACAACCCCUACAAACCCAGACCUGGAACCUUGAAUUCAAACACACGUUUUAAGUGUAAUUUUCCGUCAAAUUUGACUCAUGAACUACCCUGCAACAAAAGAAAUCAAAGGCCAGAAACUCAUCAUUUGACUCAUGAACUACCCUACAACAGACAUGAUCAAAUUCAAGAAAAGUAAACACAUUUCAAACAAAAACCCAAACUUUUUGUGAGUUUGAUCUUUAUGAGAAAGAGAAUAAUAAAGAGAGGAAAAAAGAACCAGGGACAGAUGCAUGAUGAAUCAAAUCGAGACCUGCCUUGGUGCUGGGAAAGAGAAUGGCGGUGGUGCUCGGUGUAAGACCCACAUUUUUAGAUUAGGAUAAUUAAUUAAUUUCCGACUCACGCCUUGGUUACAGUGUAAGUGUGAGAGGAAACCUAAACGAGUGUUCACUAAUUUUAAUGAAUUAAUGACGAAGAAAGUUCAAGAAAUGACUAAGAAUAGUACUAUAGUCACGGUAGGUUAUAGCACGAGUCAUAUUCACUUCCGCCUUAGGGCGAAAGCGUUAGUGAAGGGCUAAUCCGCUCUUAAAGCACUGUAGAAACGAAAUUCAAAAAAAUCAUUCAAAGGAAUAUAAGAAUUUCUCUCAUUCCUUUCCAUGACAAGUGUUUCGACACGAAACCCUGGAAUGUACGAACGUCCGAUUCCAAUUCUCGGAAGUUUGCCGAAACUGAAUCCCUGAUAGUUCAAGAACCUUAAAAUAAACUGUCGAUGAAGACUUUUUCUAUUCGGAGCUUCAAACGAAGAAUCCACACGCGGGUACCGAUUUCUCUCGAUGUUUCCAAUCUUUCUUCAGAAGGAAGUUUCUCCAUCCGACGUUAAUUGCAAAAAGUAGUUUUGCGGAAUAUUUUGAAGCAGACUGCGUUCAAGCCAUUUUCUCAUUUAAAAAUAACCCAGAGCAAGUAUCAACCUUUUAUGGAAGGAUACUUAGCUUAAUUGUAUAAUAUGACAACGUUAUAUUUGUUCUAAUUAUCUAACGAUUAUUCUUUAGCUUAAUUUCUACUCAUUUCUUAGUUCAUGGAUCAUUUUAAUUUGCUCAAAGUGAUCAUAAUUUAUAUUUUACUAUUUCAUAAAGUUCCUCAUAAUUUUUUAAUAUAAUUAUAUGUCCAUUAUAUAUUUUUCUCCUAACUCUGUGAGCUAAAUUCUUCAGUGUCUACAUCAAUUUAUACCGGUUUACAAAAUAUAUUUCCUAAAUAUCUAAACAUCCUUAUCCUCCCUCACUCUGUCUACAUCCCUCUCUCUCUCAUUACACUUUUUCAUUUUCCCUUCCUUUUCUUCUGCAGACCCAUUUCUUACACUUCUUCUUCUAUAUAUAUUAUGUCCUCUUCUCCUUUCUUUUCAUUUACUUUCUUUUGUGCAGCAAACACCACCACCAACAUAUAUCAAUUUUAUCUCCAUUCUUUUCUUUUUCCAACGUGCACCCACCAGCACCCAUUCCUUCUUCUUCACUUCUUGUUGCUGCACCCUCCCACCAUGUUUUCUUCUCCAUUCUUUUCUUUUGCUGCAGUAAGCAGACAUCACCACCGACGUCCUUCUCUUCCUCUCGACGAGGCCACGACGGCACUACCCACGCAGCACCAUGCUCCAUGCUUCUUCUUCACGUUGUAGCACCACAAAUCACAAACACCAUCAUGCUUCGUUCCCCUCACGAGGCCAGCCACCAUCAAGCUUCACCUUCAUCAUUUUCACUGGCCAUGACAAGGCACCACCACCAUGAACACGACAGCAACGACCACCACUCCAUCCUUCUUCUCACGUGAAAGCCACCAAGGUCCAGCCACCAUAACCUCUCUUCUCCAUGGACAACGAGCAACCACCACCAUACGAGACCAGCAACCAUGGGCGAAGAAGCAUAGAAAAGGACGAAGAGAAACAGAGGUGAAAUCAACGUGGAAGUAGUGUUUAACUACAAAUCUCAAUUAAAAAGUACCCGAAGGUCAAAGUUGUCUUUGCGACUAGGCUGUGAAAAGUCGGAGUACGUAUUGCACUCAGUGACAUUUCCCUGGUCAUUAUGGUUCAUCCCCGUGGUGACCAUCAAAUCAUCUCAAGUUCAAGGCUUUUCGACUAUUUCCCGUUUUUCACAAUCAUUUCCAACUCUUAAGUUCCCUAAAGGUCUCGUUAGUUAAUCAAAGCAUUUCAAGUUGAGUUAAUCAAGUUAUGAGGUUUAUUAUCAAAAUCCGAGUUUCAUAAGUUCUCAAGUUCCAAAUUCUAUCUAUUUAAAGUUUCCCAAAUCCUCCAAAUAAAAUCCCCGGGAAAAGCCUAAGUAUUUCAAAGAGGGCUAGAUCUCAGACCUCAGGUCAGGACCUGCCUAGGGUUAUUCUUUCAACCCGAAUGACCAAUAGAAUCAAUUCAAAUGUCCUGCACUUCGCAAUCGCGUCAAAGCGCACGAUUCGACAACAAUAUCAAUAUCUCAAGCUAUAAGAAGCAAUACGACAAUAAUUCUGUGCGGAAAUCGUAAGACAGAAACCAGUAAACGACCGAAGCCUCUCAGAAAACGGAGACACACGUCUCAUAUAAGUUCACUCGGCCGAAACCUCCAGAAAACAUUUUCCAGUUCAAAACGAUAAACAACAUUCAAUAUCAAGCAAUAUUCAAGUCGAAGUUAUCGACGCCUACAAUACAAAUAGCUAGUAAGUAAGUUGCCCUAACCUUAGCCAAUUUCCAUACUAAGGUGCAACUCCGAUCCGAUUACAUCUUUGGUUGCCUGCGUCGGCUCGAUUCCUUCCAUUGUGUAGCUUCGAUGCAAGGUGCUUCCGUUCGUCGUACCUUUCACAAGCAUACUUAACGAAAUCACUAAUCGAGCUACUUACUACUCAAGUCUAGAGCUAUGACUUCAGGCAAUUGACUCAAAGCGAACACAUGUUAAACGACUCUUUCUCAGUCAACAACUACAAUAAUUAGUAGAGUACUUAUCCCUUUUUGAAAUGAAAACCAUUUUGUAAAAUAAAUCGCAACUCUUCACUAAUCAACUGUUAAACUUCGAUUUUCACAAUAACAAUGAAAAUGUUUAUUUUUCUUUAAAACUUGCUUACUCGAGGCUAAAACAUAUACAAGAGUUGAAGGCUUACGAAAAUCAAGUUUCUGAAACUUGUCGGCGAAGAGUCGCUAGAGAAAGUUGUGGCUCACGGGGCUGACGGAGGAACUGUCGCCGGAGACACAAAGAAAGGUUGUUCCUUCAUCCUUUCGCGGCAAGGAGUUCAACGGCGCUGUCCGUUUCCCCAAAGAGUCGACGGUUUGCCCAGAAAGUUCAGUCGAAGGUCGACGGUGGACGUCGGGGUCGUCGAAUAAAAUGACCCAAAUAUGAAAUUGAAAAUAGGGGUUUGCUCUCAUCACGGCAAGGAUCGUAGCAGUACACUCCGUUUUUCCAUUCGUCGGCGGAGUUGACCGGAAAAAGCUCCCGAAGGCGGCAGCGGCGGUGGUCGACGGCGAUGGAACGACGAUUCGGAACAUGGGUUUUGUUGUGCACGUCGCAAGGAUCUCAACAGUAUUAACCUUGCUAUGAACGGAGGUCCGAUGACACCGGAAUCAAAGGUCGAAGAUUGCGGCGUCGGCGACGUCGGCGGCGUCGUUUUCUCUGUUUCCACGUUGAUUUCACCUCUGUUUCUCUUCGUCCUUUUCUAUGCUUCUUCGCCCAUGGUUGCUGGUCUCGUAUGGUGGUGGUUGCUCGUUGUCCAUGGAGAAGAGAGGUUAUGGUGGCUGGACCUUGGUGGCUUUCACGUGAGAAGAAGGAUGGAGUGGUGGUCGUUGCUGCCGUGUUCAUGGUGGUGGUGCCUUGUCAUGGCCAGUGAAAAUGAUGAAGGUGAAGCUUGAUGGUGGCUGGCCUCGUGAGGGGAACGAAGCAUGGUGGUGUUUGUGAUUUGUGGUGCUACAACGUGAAGAAGAAGCAUGGAGCAUGGUGCUGCGUGGGUAGUGUCGUCGUGGCCUCGUCGAGAGGAAGAGAAGGACGUCGGUGGUGAUGUCUGCUUACUGCAGCAAAAGAAAAGAAUGGAGAAGAAAACAUGGUGGGAGGGUUCAGCAACAAGAAGUGAAGAAGAAGGAAUGGGUGCUGGUGGGUGCACGUUGGAAAAAGAAAAGAAUGGAGAUAAAAUUGAUAUAUGUUGGUGGUGGUGUUUGCUGCACAAAAGAAAGAAAAUGAAAAGAAAGGAGAAGAGGACAUAAUAUAUAUAGAAGAAGAAGUGUAAGAAAUGGGUCUGCAGAAGAAAAGGAAGGGAAAAUGAAAAAGUGUAAUGAGAGAGAGAGGGAUGUCGACAAAGGGAGGAUAAGGAUGUUUAGAUAUUUAGGAAAGAUAUUUUGUAAACUGGUAUAAAUUGAUUUAGACACUGAAGAAUUUAUCUCACAGAGUUAGGAGAAAAAUAUAUAAUGGAUAUAUAACUAUAUUAAAAAUUAUGAGGAACUUUAUGAAAUUGUAAAAUAUAAAUUAUGAUCACUUUGAGCAAAUUAAAAUGAUCCAUGAACCAAGAAAUUGAAGGUAUGAAAAACGGUAGAAAGGGGGGGUUUGAAUAACGUUUUCAGAAUAAAACUUCUACCUUAAAGAUUUUAACAAAUCUUUCGAGAACAAAGUGCUUAAGAUAAGAGAUAAAAAAGCACAAGAGGAUUUUAUCCUGAUUCACUUGAUGAAUCACUCAAGCUAAUCCAGUCUACCCGUUAAGGUGAUUUCUUCCUUCUUAGAAUGAAGGCAAUCCACUAAUCAGGUAAAUGUUACAACUGCACUUGAAACCUACAAGUGACUAACAAUACACUGACUUAGCUCACACUAAGAUUCACUCUCUUAGUCUUCUCUAGGAUCUGAUCAAACUUGAUCUCCUAAAGGUAACUAAACAACAGUUUAAGAAAGAAUGUUUACAAAGAAUUUGCUUCUGAAAAACUAAGAGUAAACACAAUGAAUUCAGAUGAAAGAAUGCUUAGAAGGUUUUGAAUAUAGCUUGCGUGUGUGAGAUUAUUUUCAACCGCAUCUUUCAAUCUUCAGCCUCUAUUUAUACUCCAAGGAUUAGGGUUUGAACGCUGCAUGGAAAUGCUACCGUUGGAGGGCAGUUCUGGAAAUUCCAGCUUCUGUUGUGGCUGAGAAUGUUAGGUAGGUCGUCAGGAUAGUACAUUUGCUUUUGUACUUGGAUAGUGACUUGACCUUUAAACCUAGUAGACUUCUGAUCAGGGGAAUGCUUCAUGUUGGAACUUGUGAAGCCAGUUGAUCAGAGUCAGAGGGAAGCAUAGAUCCUCUGACCAUUGUAUCUUCUGAUUCUGAACUCAGAGGGAAGUACAUGGUCUUCAGAGUCAUCUUGCUUCUGGACAUCAGAGUUUCCAUUUUUCAGCUUCUGGAUCUUCAGAGUCUUCUACACCAGCAGAACAUCUGAACCUUCAGAGUUUCUUGGUUUUCAGAACGUCUGGAUCUUCAGAACUUCAAGUGACUGAGUCCAUAUCAGAGCUUGUAUGACUUCAGAACUUCUGAAGCGUUUCUACUGUUCAGAGUGAACAUAGAUGUUGCGAAAGCGUUGCUUGGGUCACUCUUUAUGCACAAUGCUUCUGAUUUGUGUGAGAUUGAAUUGAGGUCAGAGCCUAUAAAUAGCACACUCAGAAAAACACGUUAGAGUACCAUAAUUGUUCAUACUAAAAUGUUAACUUGUAAUCAUCAAAACAUAGAGUUGUACUACUCGAUCAAAACUUGAUCUUACAGAAAUGAGUAGAAAUUAUGCUAAAGAAUAAUCGUUAGAUAAUUAGAACAAAUAUGACGUUGUCAUAUUAUACAAUUAAGCUAAGUAUCCUUCCAUAAAAGGUUGAUACUUGCUCUGGGUUAUUUUUAAAUGAGUAAAUGGCUUGAACGCAGUCUGCUUCAAAAUAUUCCGCAAAACUACUUUUUGCAAUUAACGUCGGAUGGAGAAACUUCCUUCUGAAGAAAGAUUGGAAACAUCGAGAGAAAUCGGUACUCGCGUGUGGAUUCUUCGUUUGAAGCUCCGAAUAGAAAAAGUCUUCAUCGACAGUUUAUUUUAAGGUUCUUGAACUAUCAGGGAUUCAGUUUCGGCAAACUUCCGAGAAUUGGAAUCGGACGUUCGUACAUUCCAGGGUUUCGUGUCAAAACACUUGUCAUGGAAAUGAAUGAGAGAAAUUCUUAUAUUCCUUUGAAUGAUUUUUUUGAAUUUCGUUUAUACAGUGCUUUAAGAGCGGAUUAGCCCUUCACUAACGCUUUCGCCCUUAGGCGGAAGUGAAUAUGGCUCGUGCUAUAACCUACCGUGACUAUAGUACUAUUCUUAGUCAUUUCUUGAACUUUCUUCUUCAUUAAUUCAUUAAAAUUAGUGAACACUCGUUUAGGUUUCCUCUCACACUUACACUGUAACCAAGGCGUGAGUCGGAAAUUAAUUAAUUAUCCUAAUCUAAAAAUGUGGGUCUUACAAUACUACCCUCUAAAAAGAAAGUUUCGUCCUCGAAACUUGAAGUCAGAGAAAACUCGGGAAUAUCAUUCCCUCUUAAUUUCAUCCAACUUACUAGCGGCGUUAGCACGCGUCCCAAAACCUGGGAACACUACAAAAAAUUCACCUUAAAGGUGACCUACAAGACAAUAACAACACUUAGAUACCUAACAAUCAUGUUCAAAUAAACCUAGAUACCUCGCUUAAGCUAGUGCUAUAGGCACCGAGAUCCAAUUCCUAACUCGAUCGCUUACACGAACGACCUGACAAGUGUCGCCAUGCUCUCACAUUCACAACUCGAUCCUGAUAUUCACAAUCAUAACUUAUUAUGCUAUCAUCAUUCAAAUCUCAUCACAUGGCUCAUUAUGCCAGCAACCUCAUAAUCAUCAUCAAUCGAUCAACAACUUAUAAGCAUAUGAUCAUCUUAAAAUCUAAUGAUCCAUUAAUGUCAUCUCCUUUUUGAAACUAUCCUCAUUAUAACCAUCAAAUCAACUUUUCUCUUAGUCACAAAUCGUAUCACCAACUUAUCACCAGUCUUCACACUCUACACUACUCAGAAUUCAUUUACUUCAAGAUCACUCUUAUAUUAUACCUCAAUGGAUUUAACCCAAAACUCAUCUUCAGAUCUUCAAUCUUUAAAGGUUUAACUGCUAUCAUCACAACUAAAACCAUUAAAUCUCUUAUUCGUACUUGAUUCUCAACUCCCAAGGUCAAUCUUAAUCCUAAGAUUUCAAUCCAGCUUAGUAAAUCUCACUUAGUAAUCUUAGCACAUUUCUCUGGAAUCCACAUCAACAAUCUCAAGUAUUAAACUUAUGCUAAAACUUUCUUUUUCAAACUUAAUCAUUAAUUCAACACUUAGUCACUCAAGCAAACACCUGACAAUUCUCUAAGUCUUACACAUUCAAGUUAAAAUUCAUAGGCUUAAAAUCUAAACCUUUACCUAGUUUGCAUCGGUAAUGUCCUUUAACACUUCAACACUUUUCAAGUGAAAAUUCAUCUCUUAAGACUAUAAUGUCUCCACAAAUAAAUCAAGCGCUUAGCAAAACUUAUUCCUCAAACUCGACUACAACAAUCUAGUUUAGAGUUAAUUCUUCUCAAUCUUGCUACUAUCAAGCUAUCAUCUAUAACCUGAUUAAAUCCAACCUAUUUAACCUCUAACAAAUCCACCUCGGAAAUCACAUAACCUAUGACUUCAUAGCUUCCAAGAAAAUACUUAAGAUUUUCCAACAUUAAAUCUCUUAACUUAGUCUACCUCUACUUGGAGUAAUCAUGCGAACUAACCAAUUAAUGUCUAUACGACAAUCAUCAACUUCCAAAGAUUUAAAUCUUAAUCCUUUACAAUCAAGUGCUUAACAUAAACUUACCUACCAAACUCGACUAAUCAUUGAUCAAAUCUAACCAAUCUUCCUAUCAUAGUCCAUGCCAGCUGUGAUUCCGAAUAUCACCCCCUCAAUAUUAAGUUGAUCAGACUCAAUAUCUUGGCGAUGAAAAUUUAGAAAAACUUACUAGUAAGGCCAAUGAGUCUAUCUCAUCAAGUAGUCAUAUCUAAUUUGAGAUCAUCUCUUAAAUCUAUUCAAUCUCUAACAUUUCCAUCUUGAAAAUGACACACCUUAAUUCCUGAAACUCAUACAACAUUCCAUUAGGAUUCAUUCUUAGCUUCUACCUUUCUUAACUCUUACCUGUCUAAGAUAACUUCAAGACUUAAAAAACUUCCCUAAACCCUAUAUAACUUCUAUAGUUAAAUACAACGAUAGUCGAAAAAUGUGUCUUAUACUUAUCCCUAUUACUAUCAGAAGCAUAGCAAUCUCUGCCUUAAAUACCACAUGGCAAUGCAGGAAAAUAACAAUAACGAUUAAAGUCUUGGUGGAAGAAGUAACAACCAAGUCUUAAAGAGGAUGGACCUAAAUCCUAUUAUUUGUUUGUGGAUUAAAGCGGCUGGACCUUAAUCCUAUUAUUUGUCCGUUGAUUAAGUGGUAGGAUCUUAAUCAUACUAUUCGUUUGUGGAUUAAAGUGGCUGGACCUUAAUCCUAUUACUUGUCCUUUGAUUAAAGUGGUUGGACCUUAAUCACAUGGACCUUAAUCCUAUUAUGUGUUAGUUGAUUAGUGAAGAGUUGCGAUUUAUUUUACAAAAUGGUUUUCAUUUCAAAAAGAGAUAAGUACUCUACUAAUUACUGUAGUUGUUGACUGAGAAAGAGUCGUUUAACAUGUGUUCGCUUUGAGUCAAUUGCCUGAAGUCAUAGCUCUAGACUUGAGUAGUAAGUAGCUCGAUUAGUGAUUUCGUUAAGUAUGCUUGUGAAAGGUACGACGAACGGAAGCACCUUGCAUCGAAGCUACACAAUGGAAGGAAUCGAGCCGACGCAGGCAACCAAAGAUGUAAUCGGAUCGGAGUUGCACCUUAGUAUGGAAAUUGGCUAAGGUUAGGGCAACUUACUUACUAGCUAUUUGUAUUGUAGGCGUCGAUAACUUCGACUUGAAUAUUGCUUGAUAUUGAAUGUUGUUUAUCGUUUUGAACUGGAAAAUGUUUUCUGGAGGCUUCGGCCGAGUGAACUUAUAUGAGACGUGUGUCUCCCUUUUCUGAGAGGCUUCGACCGUUUACUAGUUUCUGUCUUAUGAUUUCCGCACAUAAUUAUUGUCGUAUUGCUUCUUAUAGCUUGAGAUAUUGAUAUUGUUGUCGAAUCGUGUGCUUUGACGCGAUUGCGAAGUGUAGGACAUUUGAAUUGAUUCUAUUGGUCAUUCGGGUUGAAAGAAUAACCCUAGGCAGGUCCUGACCUGAGGUCUGAGAUCUAGCCCUCUUUGAAAUACUUAGACUUUUCCCGGGGAUUUUAUUUGGGGGAUUUGGGAAACUUUGAAUAGAUAGAAUUUGGAACUUGAGAAUUUAUGGAAUUCAGAUUUUGAUAAUAAACCUCAUAACUUGAUUAACUCAACUUGAAAUGCUUUGAUUAACUAACGAGACCUUUAGGGAACUUAAGAGUUGGAAAUGAUUGUGAAAAACGGGAAAUAGUCGAAAAGCCUUGAACUUGAGAUGAUUUGAUGGUCACCACGGGGAUGAACCAUAGUGACCAGGGAAAUGUCACUGAGUGCAAUACGUACUCCGGCUUUUCACAGCCUAGUCGCAAAGACGACUUUGAACUUCAGGUACUUUUUAAUUGAGAUUUGUAGUUAAACACGUACGCGCAAAUCCGUAUGUUCAAACCCAACGGGUUGGACCGAUUCGGCAAUAAUUGUUUGACAUGCGCGAGUCUGUAUAUUCAAUCCGAUGGAUUGGAUCGAUUCGGCGGUAGUCACUCAGGCACACGUGAGUCCGUACAUUCAAUCCGAUGGAUUGGAUCGAUUCAGCGAUUACCAUUUAAACUCGCGUGAGUCCGUAUAUUCAAUCCGAUGGAUUGGAUCGAUUCAGCGACAACCUUUCGACACGCGCGGAUCCGUAAGUUCAAUCGAAUGGAUUGGAUCGAUUCGGCGACAGUCAUUGGACGCGCGCAACGUCUGUAUGUUCGACUCUAUUGAGUGAACCGACUUGGCGUUAUCAUUUGUUGUGUGUGCGAGUCUGUAUGUUCAACCCGAUGGGUUGGAUCGACUUGACAUGCCUAUUUGUUGAGAUCAUCUUUUGAAUUGACAUUGCAUGCAUACAUGCACCCUUAUUGAACUGUUGAGAUAACAGAUAUCGAAUUGUUAUUAGAGCCUAGAUAACAUGUUAUGUAUAUACCUUAAGGUAGGCAAUACAUAAGUUAUAUGUAUAUAUACAACCUAUAUGUAUACCCCCUUAUUCUUCACAUGUUGUUUGUAUUAUCUAUUAUAUUCUGUGAGUUGACCCUCGCGCCUUGGCUUUGUUUGUAUGUCUGUGUUUGGGCAGUCGGCCUGCUGCCAAACGUUCGACAACGGUUUCGUGAUGAUUCGUCACUCGGGGAGGACCAGGAGCGUAAUGACCAUUACUGAAGUUUCGACGAGGACCCGGACUGAAUGCAUGACCAUAUGAGGGUCGAUGAUGGAAGUUUAGGGUAUGGGUAUUUAGAGCCUACUAAGGUUGGGUGUUAGUGUCAUAGCUCUGAUGGUCAUUUCUUAUUUUGGGGCAGGGUAGGUCCCCGACUAUUAGCUUUUUGUGUGGUUCUCUUCCAUGAGGAUCACAGGGAGUUGUCGGACGUAGGAAGUCUUUUGGAGGCCGUUUUGGGCUGACUUACUUUCUUGGAGAACUGUAUUUAUAAAGGUUAUGACUCUGUCUAUGUGUCGCACAUAUUUUCCUGCGGGCACCACUUUCAUUUGCUUUCCGUCACUUGAGGACACUCGUGACGAUGUUUUUAGUUGCAGCGAGGGCUGUACUUAUAUUGUAUGUUAGUCGCUGUUAAUCGCGAUUGAGUUGAGUCUUUAAUUUCGACAAGUCUUUUUAUUUAAACAAAUCAAAAAAAAAUAUACCUGCUUUUCCGCUUUAUUUUAUUUUUGGUUACUAAAGUGACGCCACCGAAAUCGGGGUGUGACACUCGGAAGUCAGAGGAACGAGAUGGUGGUGGCGGCGCAGCCGCAAAGCAGCGCGGUGGCGAUGAACAGAUCGGGAAUGGGAGAUGGUCGCAUGGGCGGUGGGCGAUAGAUCUGAGGGGAAACUCCUUUGGACGGCUCCCCGUCUUGGUCAGCUAAGGCUGUAGGCACUUACUCCGUCAGAUCAGAAGCAGAACUGGGCGUUUGGGUCAUGGCCAGUUCCAUCUGGUGGCUGCGCGCGAGCAGAGGAGGAGGUGGCGGUCGCGGGCGAGCACGGGAGGAGGUGGUGGCCGCGCGAGGAUAAAGAGGAGGAGGUAACAACAACGAGCAGAGAGAGGGGGAGGUGGCAGCUUGAGUGGAGAGAAGAGGAGCGUGGUGGGUGGAAAGUGGCGGUUGCGUUGAGAAGAAGAGAGAAGGAAGUAGCGACUGCUAAGGUUGAGGAGAGGGUGAAGAGAAGAGCUUAGUGUCGGGACAUGUGGUGGUGUGGGAGUCGGAGGCUGAAGAUAGUGGUGAGAUAUGGAGGUUGAAGAUGAUGAGUAUUAGGUUUGGGGAUUUUAUUUUAAUCUGUAUUUGUGAUUAUCAUGUAUUAGGUUAAAUAAAAUUUAU